GUGUAGUGUUAAAAAAGGUUCUUAUAUGAUGGGACAGAGGGAAUACAUAAAUAGCUGACAUUUUUGCAUACAUGGCAUCCAUACAGAAGUAGCCGGGACAUCUCACAUGACACAAUUUAAAUUAGUUUCACAAGACACGACUUCAGGGUCCAAGAUAAUCUCGCAUAACAACCAGCUCAUGACACUACAGAUAGCUGAAUAAGUUAAUAGACCACAUGAAAGACUGAUAAAUUUCUUACAACAAGUUGGGCCUGGCUUCAAUAAUUGUCAGAAUAGAAACUGAGCUGAGCUCCGCUUCCUCUCCCCACCGUCUGCGCCGCGGGCCACUCCGGCCGCGGCAGCCACCCACCCACCCCGCCUUCACUCCGGCUUCGGCUGCCGGCCUAGGGGCUAUGCCAGCCCGCUCCCCCAUGAGUGCCCCGUCCUCACCCGCCGCGAGCCUUGGGUGGAGUACGCUCGAAAAGGUGGAGAUCCAGGGCGAGUCCAGCGGUCCGUCAGAGGUACCGGCAACUCCUCUGUCCCCGUCGACGCGGGAUCCCCGAGCCCAAGCUGCCACCCACACGGAUCUGGGGCGGAGGUCGAGGUGGCGCGCUUCGGACCGGCGGAUGGCGGCACGGCACCACCAAAUGAGCGCCCCCACCUCAAAUCCAUCGUGGUAAGUGAUAGCCCCCUCCCAUCUCCGGCCACCGACGCCAUUGAAGAAGGAUGGGAAAUCCAGAAAUCCCGCAAGAACCGCUGCACCAGCCAGGAUCCAUUUAGUGCUAGGGAGAAAUCGAGGCGUCGGCCUUCUUGCCAAGGUCACAGCCAUGGGCCACUCGGCGGGCAGAGAGGCCUUUUAAGCAGAUUCAAGGGCCUCUGCUUCCACUGCCUUAGCCCUCGCCACCGCCACGUAGACUGUAAGGAUCCACUGCGCUGCAUCAUCUGCAAAUGUCAGGGCCAUUUCGGCCGAGAGUGCGCCGACAACCCACGCAACAAGGGGCGGGGCUCGGUCGCUAUUCUACCGCGCUCCCCGCGCCGGCCGAUCUGCAAGCGCCUGACCUUUCCUCCUCCGCCUACCUCACCUCAUCAACCGAUGGAGUCGGGUGCCCUCAUCAACCACACCCGCCACCCCCGCAACAGCCACAAGGUCAUCGCCUCCACGCCGGCGAUGGAGCACCAGGUCUUCCUGCUGAACCAACACGCGGUCGUGGUCACCGUGGUGGGCACCAAGGCGCACGCGGCGAGCCCGCUCUCCAUUGGCCGCGCGCUUGAGCGCGAGCUCAAGAUCCCUCCGUACCUGCUUUGCGUCACCAACCACGACCCUGAUGACUUCUUCGUCUACUUCAUCCUGCCGGUGCACAAGGACCUGGCGGUGCGGCGCGGUUUGCUGUCGGUGGACGGCGUGCCAUUACUGCUCGAGCCAUGGAGGGAGGACGCCCACGCUGUCCGGCUCAAGUGGAUGCUGCACGUGCACAUGGUCAUCGAGAAGCUUCUCAUGCAGCUUUGGACGAUGUAGGGCGCGGAGGAGGCCAUCGGUGACAAGGUCAUCGUCGACCGCCUCGACAGCCGGACCCACGAGCGCGUCGACACCAAGCUUUUCGCUUGCUAGGUCUGGUGCUGGGACACUGCCCACAUCCCCACAAAGCGUACGAUCUGGAAGCAUGCCCGGGGCGUUGGCCACGUCGAUGAGAUGGUGGGCUACUCUCCUCCGAGCCGCGUCGUGGCACCACCGCCGGAGCUGCUGCAAUACGACUUGCUCCUUCAUCUAGAUCGCGUGGAGGACUGGACUCCGCUCUCGCCGCAUUCAUCCCAUUCGCCGCAGAGCGGCAUCCCCUCCGACAACGACGAGCCCGACGAGCGCCCCUACCCACGGAUCGAGCCAGGUGUCUGGGCCGAGCGGGUGGAGGAUGGUAGGCCGGCGCUUGCCCCGGUGCUAUCCAUGCGCCCCGAACCCCGGGUGGCAUCCACGGGUUGCCGGGGCAUGCCGGCCACUGAUGGUCGGUGCGACGACGGCAGCGGAGACCCUGGGUACUAGAGGAGGAGCUGGAAGGACACACUGCUCGGCAGGGGGCGUGCCAGCGACAGAGGCGGGGCCCCAGCCCCGGCGCCACCUGCGGAGCAGCGGUGCAGCCGCACCCCAGCCUCGCGCAACCGCCAGGGUGCACCGCGGGGCCGACACCUUUGCAUCGACAAGUAGGCCGCGAUCAAGCCGGCCAAGAGGAAGGACGUGAUGGCUGGGCCCUCCCGCCAGCCAAAUGGGGGGGGGCAAGAGCCAGGCCCGACGCAAGUCCGACGGCUCAACGGUGGCUGAGUCGUCGGGCGGCCCCUCUCUGCUCGCCCCACCGCGCAGGCUCACUCAGGAGCAAGGGCAUGGUGCAGGCCAUGCUGGGGGGCAGGGCGCGACAGAGGACCCGGUGGAGGAGUUCUUCCAGGGAUCAAAAAACAACCUCCUCCCACAACCCCGGGCACGCCCUGACGCCAUGGCCAUGAAGAUCGAUGAGGUGAUCGCCGCCAAGCUCGACAAGCCGCUGCGCUUCGAUGAUGAAAAAGAUGGUGGCAGUGACGGAUCGCUGGACAUGGGGCCUGCCCUGUCCCUGGCCCGUCACACCGUGUUCGUUGUGAGCACGCAUGAAGUGCAGCUGGGCGAGGUCACGCAGAGGGUUACUGAGAUGCAGCUCCAAGGGGGAGGAGUCGAGGGCGAGCAGCAGCUGCCCCUCUUCUCCAAGCCGGCGCCAGCGAUCAUCGGAAAGCCACCGGCAAGAGACAGGACGCCCCUCAAGGCUAGGCCGCAGGCCAAGCCGGUCAAGCAGAGCACACGCCAAGCUGCCAACCCCUCCCUGGUGCCGGUCUCUUAGAGGGCGACGCUCCGGCUGGUGCAGGGCCUCGGCGUCCUCGGGCCAAAGGAGAAGAUGAUGGCGCAGGCUGCAGAAGCCCUCAUCCGCCGUUUUGACGAUCCCCUAUCUGACGACGACAUCACUGCCAUCGCGAAGCUCACCAGCCUCGACGCCAACGCGCUCAAGGCGAUCGCCGGCAUGCCUAGCCAGCAUGGAAGCGCCGCGCUGCCCCGUUCCCCAUGUUAGAAAACCUUAGUGUAGUUGUCGGCCGACGAUGACCAACAGUGUGCUGGGUAGAGUUAGGUUUGUUGUCAAGCAUGAAGUGUUGUAGCAGUAGCCAGGCUAGGAGGCUUGCUGUUCGCCGGCGGGGUUUUGGGCCUAUUGGUGGCCGCUGGCGACCCCUGGAUGCAAGGAUGGUGUCAUUGUGUUCUAAUUUAUCAGUAGAUGUUAGUUGUCGGCAUCUCAUCGUGCAUCGCCCAGUUUUCAUCCAUUAUAGCUCGAGCGCUGCCAGGUUUCCCCAUGGAUGACACGAACAUGCCGAUCAUGAGCUGGAACGUGAGAGGUCUCAACACACCGGCGGGACGCUCGGUCAUCAGAGACACUGCACACGCCCACAAGCUGGCAAUCCUCUGCAUCCAGGAAACCAAAAUUGACUGCUGGUCCACUAGCUUAGCAAGAGAAAUAGGUGGCACAUGGCUUGACCAAUGCAUUGUUCUUCCAGCCAUUGGAACGAGGGGAGGGGCGGCCAUUUUUUGGAACUCUAGCAUGCUGUCUGUGCAGUCUCACUCGAUAGGGCAGUUCUCUAUCACAGCUAGGGUGCAAACAGGCGAGUUAGGCAAAGAUUUUUGGUUAACUACGGUCUACGGGCCUUCGGAUAAGGAUAGAAAAGAUGAUUUUCUCGAGGAAUUGACUAGAGUUGCUCCCCCACCUGGACAAGCUUGGCUCAUCAACGGCGAUUUCAACAUUAUAUACGAGGCUAGAGACAAGAAUAACAUCAACAUCAACCGUAGGAUCAUGGGUAAAUUUAGAGCGGCAAUCGACGCGGGUGGCCUCCGUGAGAUCAAAUGCAAAAACCGUCGCUUCACCUGGAGCAAUGAGUGUAGGAACCCUACAUUAGUUAGUAUCGAUAAGUUUUUCUGCAACAUUGCUUGGGAGGGGUUUUUCCCAUCCUUUCUCCUGCAUGCGGCAUCAACAUCAUGCUCGGACCACUGCCCCUUGCUUCUCGCAGCUGCUGCAGCGCCACACCGCCCGGCAACAUUCAAGUUUGAAUUGUUCUGGCCCCGGUUCCCGCGCUUCCAGGAGAUGGUCCAACAUACCUGGAACCGCCCAACCUCAUCGCACUGCGCUUUUGCAAGGCUAAGAGAGAAAAUGAGUAGGGUUGCUAAGGAUCUAAAGAUUUGGAGCAAAUCUCAGUUUGGGGGGGGGGCAAAGAUCCAGAUGCACAUUGCAAAUGAAGUGAUCCUACGCCUCGAUGUAGCGCAAGAAACUAGAGCACUGUACGAUGCAGAGUUUCAUCUUAGAAAAAUGCUCAAGCUCAAGAUCUUAGGACUGGCGGCCAUUGAUCGUGCAAGGAAACGCCAAGCCUCCAGAAUUACGUGGCUGCGAGCUGGGGUCACGCCAACUGCUUUCUUCCAAGCAAAGAUCAAUGCUAGGAGACGGAAAGGUUUUAUACACUCACUGCAUGGACCGUCUGGUGUGGCUAUUAAGCAGGAGGAGAAAGAAAACUUGAUCUACGAUCAUUUCUCCUCCAUACCGGGCACGGCAGCACACCGCAACACCACCAUUGGCUGGCGCUCUCUCGCCAUGCCCAGGGUGCAAGGAGGGCUUGACAACCCUUUCAUAGAGGAGGAGGUAUGGCAUGCAAUCAAGGCUUCUUCGGCGGAUCGUGCGCCUGGCCCGGAUGGUUUCUCUAGCCUCUUCUUCAGAUCAUGCUGGGCAACAAUCAAAGAGGAUAUCAUGGCAGCGUUCAAUCAGUUCUACAAUUUAGUAGGUAGCAAUUUUGGAGCCCUAAACACUGCGGUGGUGGCAUUAUUGCCCAAAAAGGACGGAGCACUGACUAUCAACGACUACCGGCUAAUCAGUCUCAUCCACUCCAUAGCAAAGUUGAUAUCCAAAGUGCUGUCCCUUAGGCUUGCCAACGUGAUCCACACGCUCAUCUCACCAGCACAGUCAGCAUUUCUUCGGACAAAAUGCAUCCACGAUAGCUUCCUAUACGUUCAAAGCUGCAUCAAGGCCCUACAUAGACGAAAAACACCGGCUCUGCUUCUUAAGUUAGACAUAGCCAAGGCCUUCGACAAUGUAUCUUGGGAGUACAUCCUUGAGAUGCUGCAACAAUGGGGUUUUAGUGCGCGAUGGAGAGAUUGGAUAUCUUUGCUGUUGUCCUCAUCCUCAUCGUCCUUCCUCCUCAACGGUGUACCAAGAAAAAGGAUCCGACACCGGAGAGGCCUUCGACAGGGCGACCCCUUGUCACCUUUCAUCUUCAUCCUAGCGAUAGACACACUGCACCACCUACUUCAGGCCGCCGCUGAGCAACACAUCAUUGCACCACUUCUAGGGCGGGAGCUAAAACUUAGGAUUAGCCUAUAUGCCGAUGACGCCAUCAUCUUCGCAAAUCCGGUGAGGGAAGAAAUCGAUGCACUCAUGAAAAAUAUGCACGAUUUUGGAGAAGCCUCCGGACUACACAUCAACCCUUCAAAGUCGACGGCUUUACCCAUCAGAUGUGAGAAUAUAGACCUAGGGUUUGUGUUGCAAAAUUUCAAAGGGGCAGAGGGGCAAUUCUCGACCACCUAUUUAGGCCUGCCGCUGACACUAGCUAGACUACGACUAGCAAACAUACAAUUCAUCAUAGACAGGAUCAAGGCUCGACUUGCAGGAUGGAAAGGAAAACUCCUGCCAAUAGCCAGUAGGCGAGUAUUGGUUCGAUGUGUCCUCGGUGCUAUGCCCACUUUUGCCCUAACUAUUCUCAAAGUGCCAAAGAAGCUACUCAAGGAGAUCGACAGAUGCAGGCGUAGAUUUCUUUGGAAGCAAGAUGAGGCGAUCACAGGUGGUAGCUGCAAGGUUAACUGGUCGGUGGUGUGCACUCCUACAUCUCAUGGAGGACUAGGGAUCAUCGAUCUCGAACGUUUCAGCUGUGCCCUUAGAUUACGAUGGCUAUGGAUAGCCUGGUCUGACCCUGGGCGGCCUUGGGUUGACAUGGAACCACCAUGCAGCAACAGCGACAAGGCACUCUUCGCAGCAGCGACCACGAUCACCAUCGGCGAUGGCGCGAAGGCACUCUUCUGGCACUCCACUUGGUGUGGGUCGUGCACCCUGGCCAGCUCGUUCCCUCUCCUCUACUCGCACUCCAAGCGUAAAAACAGGACGGUGCGCGAGGCUCUCACACAUGAUACUUGGAUAAAAGACCUGCGGCACGGAAACCUACAACCUCUGCUGCCAGAUUUUGUCAGGCUGCAUAGAAAGAUCGCCCUGACCGUGCUAACAGAGGGAAGUAGUGACCAGAUUAGGUGGAAUCUAGAGGCCAGGGGAAAAUACACCGCAAGCUCAGCUUACGCUAUGCAAUUCCAGGGCAGAGUACUAGCGGAAUGGCAGAAUUUGAUCUGGGAGGCAAAGGUUCCUGGAUGCAUUAAGAUCUUCGCCUGGCUCCUACUACAAAACCGGCUAUGGACAUGCGACAGGCUACAAAGGCGUGGCUGGCUGAACUACUAUUUUUACCCGCUGUGCAUCCGCAACCUGGAGACAACUCACCACCUCUUCUGGAGCUGCCCAGUAGCCCGGGAGGUGUGGGAGAAGGUAGCUGCAAGACAGGGGUGUCAGCAGUUACACCCACGGCAACAGGUGCAAGAGGGAAGCACUAUCGCCAUACUCCAACGGAUGGUGGCAAACACCCGACCAACACAACAAAAGGCCAGCAAUGCCACCAUGCUGUUAACAUGCUGGGAAAUUUAGCAAGAGAGGAAUAGGUGUGUGUUCAAGGGAAAGAUAGCUUCAGCGCAAGACAUCAUCAAGGCCAUCGAGCAUGCCAUCGAGCUUUGGCGCCAAGCGGGAGCAAUUCAUCUAGAGAGCCCCUUUUGGGAUCCACCAUGAAAUUUAGAACAAUAGUUAUUUUCGGGGUUUAAGGUGUUGUAACAAAACUGGUCCUAGGACCUGCACCUCACCCUUUGUAUUUUUCUCCAUUUCUUUCUGCUUAUCAAUGAAAUGCCAGUAUGACGCUAGAUCUUUCAAAAAAAACCUAGGAAAGACUGCAUAUUCUUCUUCCAGCCAGCAAGAACAUAUGACACCUUUGGUUUCUAGAGCAAGGAAGGAAGGAUAUCUUUGAAUGGAGUAGACCAAGACUGCAUAUUCUUCUUCCAGCCAGCAAGAACAUAUGACACCUUUGGUUUCUAGAGCAAGGAAGGAAGGAUAUUUCUGAAUGGAGUAGACCAAGCCACUUCAAUGUUAACCCUGGAGUACAAGCUUGGACCAAAUAAGUAGAGACCAAGCCACUUUAAUCUUGACCCUGCAGCUAGCACCAAUGUCACAUUCUUUCUCUGUUACGCCGCCGUCUUUUUUGGGUUCGAACACGACAUCACCUGUUGCAACGAGUACUUUCAAGCUACCACCACAUGCAGAGUAGGCAUGUACUAAAACUUGGAAGUUUUGGUUCACAUCUACAGAAACAACACGCCUUGACAGAUGAAUGUUUCCAUCUUGAUCCACCGGCGGAUUAUCUCCAUCUGGAAAAUCAAGCAACACAAAUUCUUCAAGGGAAGAGGCACCUUGGAUAAAAACUUUCCCUGCAAAUUGACUAGGCCAUGACCCAUGAAUAAUUUGCACACUUAGGAUAGUGGCCUCGACCGUUUCCGCAAACUGCUUACAAUGAAAUCUUAUAGUGCAAAGGUUGUUGUCCAAGAUUGUACCAAAAGGACCAGGGCUCCGUCGGCAUCGGAGGACUUGGUUGAUCAAUUCUUUUCCAUCUCCAGACUCUCUCUUGAACUUAAGAUCAACUUCAAAGUCAACAGGUUCAAGGGACAAAAUUGCACGAGAGGGGCCAGUCAAUGUCAAGUAGGGCUCCUGCAAUUGGCAAUCAUGGGAUAAGUAACAAUUUAUAUGGCAAAGCCAAUAAACCCACCACAAGCAGGGAAGAGGAAUGUAUACAUCUGCAGUAAUGAUUUGGUAGUUAUCGCUUGUGCUAUUGAAGAGAAAGUUGCGAUUAUAAUCCACAUGGUCUCGGGCAGCAACCAUGCCAUAGACACGAAGUGGCCACCCGAGUUUUGGCUUCUUGACUUGGAUGGAGUAGACUUGCAAGGUGCAGGAGACCAAAGCAUGUGGGAUGGUUUUGUAUGUGGUCAGCAUGUUCUUGGUCGUCGCUACAUACACAAAGCGUGUGUUACAACAUAAUGUCUCUCAACAAGAAACAUAAUAAUACACAGAAACCGAAAAUUUUCUCCGAUUCCGAUUUCGAUGACUGCGAAGAGGAAGAGAAUUAUGCUGGCUGUAGGUAAUUAUGCGAAUUAUAACUCAGAUAAGUGCGUACAUUGUUUACGUACUCUCAUAUUCGAAGUUACCGAACUUGCCAUAGGACAUGCACUCCCAGCCUAUAUGGUACUCUUGCAUAAUCUCCUCAUCCAUCAUGUAAUCGGGCAGGGACACCUCCUCAUCCAGAUCCAUUGAGUUGUCAUCCUCAUUCUCCGAGAUGUGCUCCGGCGUCGAUGAAUCGUCGUCGAUCCUAGAAGAGGAUGUGGCCUCCUUACGGCGACGCUUCGCGGAUUCUCCACCGCUCCCCCCUUCCGCUUCUCUUAUCACCUCCAUCUCCAAAAGCAGAGUUCUCCCUCUUCUUCUUUCUUCGACGCCGCCCCCGCCGCCGCAGUUGCAAGAUCUAGGGUUUUUUCUUGCAGAAAUGUCUUAGGGAUCCCAGUCACAGCCGUGCGGAAGGCUCCUAAUUUUUUUAGACAAAGCUCCUUAUAUUAUAUGGGUGACGAUGCUCCCACCCAUCCGGCCCAAUAAGACAUACGUUCGUCCAGGAUCCCAAAUACUAACGGUGUGCUCAGGGCCUGUCUAGGCCACCCAGUAAGAUGCUCAUUCGUGCAGGGAAAAACUGUCGUUGUUCGCUCUGCCAAAAAAGAUAAAUGCAUUUCCCUAAAAAAUGAUAAAUGCAUAGGAAAUGCGGCUGCCUUGAAAGAUUAGAAAAAAACUACUCAUGUAAAUUUAAAACAUGUUCAUGGAAUUUUAAAUAUUCCUGAAAAUUUAAAACAUGUUCAAAAAAAUUUAUAAUAUUCACGAAUUUAAUAUAUGUUCAUGUUCCUUAAAGAUGUUCAAGGAUUAAAAAAUAAUAUAAAUUCUUAAUUUUAACAUGUCCACGGAAAAUGUUCCCAAAUUUUAACGAAAAUUAUAGUAUUCAUGUAUUGCAGAAAUGUUUACAUAUUUGAAAAAUGUUUACCAAUUUAUCAAAUAUCCAUGAAUUUAAAAAAUGUUCAUAUGUUUUACUAAUGAUUGCUCGUUUAGAAAUUUCUCUUGUGUUUUCAAUAAAUUUUCACAAAUGUAUAAACUAUUCAUGAUAUUUUAAAUUUUCAUGAAUAUUCCUAAAAAAUAAAUGUCUCGUGAAUUUUAACAAUGUCGAUGGUUUUUUUAAGAACACACGUUUUAAAAAUGUUCACAACUAUAUAAAAACACAUUCCAUCUAUUUAAAACUGUUCAAAAAAUCUUUUAAAAUAUGAUUGUAAAUUUAAGAAUAUUUAUGAAUUAUGGGAGUGCUCUCUAUAGUUUUUGUUGAAUUUUAGGGUUUCCUAUUUAUUUAAUAUUUAUUGUCAUUUUGCUAUUUUUUCUUCUUCUUUUUGUAUAGGUUUUCUUUUAUCUUCUUUUUAAAUCAUGAACAUGGAGGAUUCGAUGAAGGAUAAUAGUGUUGAGUGCAAAAUGAGUCGUGUAACAUCCCUGGAGUAAUCCCCUAACUAUUUUUUGCCUAUGAUAUUGGUUGUGCAUCAGAUGCAUCUCAUAAGCAUUAUAUUGUGUUAAUUGAUUAAUUUGGUUACCCUCCGGAGUGGGGGAUUCUUUGACAUCGUCAACACCAACCUCUUCUCCAUCACCACCAUCAUGAUCUCCCAUUCAUGUCUGAGUAAUUUCUUUGUGGGCACAUGGGGUGGGUGGAAAUUGGAUCACACAUCUCUUAUGUAAUAGAUGUCAGAUUUGAUAUGGUUUGUGCCUAGUACCUUGUAUGUUUCUGAGACUGAUGUUGUUGUGACUUUGUUAUACUUAAUGCUUGACACUAGGGCCCGAAUGUCAUAAUUUCAUAUUUGAACCCUUUAUGUUUUCAUGAAUAUACAUGUGUUUUUGGAUCAUAUCUGCAAGUUCUAUGCGUGUAUUAUAGUUAAAAGCCAGAGACCUUGAAGUAACAGCAAUCGGGCUAUCAAAAGGGAUGGCUAUGAUUUGAGGAUUACAUGUAUUCAUAGAUUGCUUUGCUCCGAUGCUUUGUGAAACGAUUAAAUUAAUUACCCUUAUUUUCCAUUAGGAUCCCCCUGAAACAGGGGGUAAGACAAAAGAUGGUGUGCAAGUUAUUAUUGCAAGCGCGUACAACUACAUAUGGAAUACAUGCGUGCCUACAUAUGAUUGAUGAAUUGGAGUCAAGCUUAUUGUCACCUUGUGCAGCUAUUAGAUGGUUGCUUCCAUCCAUGAGAUGUCCACUAUCCACUCCCAUGUCUACGCUUUCCGUAAUCAUUGUUCUCUUUAUGUUACGUUUGUUCUUUGCAACUACUAGGACCUAGUAUUUUGUUGUUACUAGAUGAUACCUCGCGCAUUGCUGCGGGAACGCAUGCUAAAUACUAAGAUCCGUAAAUGAAGCAUCAGGUGGCCUCUUGGCGGGGUGUGGGCGGGUGGCCGUGCUGUCCUCCAACACCCAAGAUGCGACCUCGAUCAGCUGGUGACGUCCCUUGAACUCUUGAUCCAGCUGAGGCCGAGGGAGAGUUUUGUCAGCACGACAGUGUGAUGACGAUGAUGAUGAAGUUACCGACGUAGGGCUUCGCCUAAGCACUGCAACAAUAUGAACGAGGUGGGAAUAUGUGGAGGGGGUACCGCACACGGCUAAACAAUCAACUUGUAUGUCUAUGGGGUGCCCCCUCCCCCGUAUAUAAAGGAGUGGAGGAGGGGAAGGGCCGACCUCAUGGGGCGCGCCCAAGGGGGNNNNNNNNNNNNNNNNNNNNNNNNNNNNNNNNNNNNNNNNNNNNNNNNNNNNNNNNNNNNNNNNNNNNNNNNNNNNNNNNNNNNNNNNNNNNNNNNNNNNNNNNNNNNNNNNNNNNNNNNNNNNNNNNNNNNNNNNNNNNNNNNNNNNNNNNNNNNNNNNNNNNNNNNNNNNNNNNNNNNNNNNNNNNNNNNNGGAUUGGGCUUGGGGGGCGUGCGCCUCCCACUUAGCCGCCGCCUCCUAUCUUCCACCAUGGCCCAUUAAGGCCCAUUAACUCCCCGAGGGGUUCCGGUAACCCCCCCGGUACUCCAGAAAAUGCCCGAACUAAUCUGAAACCUUUCCGGUGUCCAAACAUAGCCUUGCAAUAUAUUAAUAUUCAUGUCUCGACCAUUUCAAGACUCAUCGUCAUGUCUGUGAGCACAUCCGGGACUCCAAACUACCUUUGAAAUAUCAAAACACAUAAACUCAUAAUACCGAUCGUCAUCGAACGUUAAGCGUGCGGACCCUACGGGUUCAAGAACUAUGUAGACAUGACCGAGACUCAUCUCCAGUCAAUAACCAAUGCGAUAGACUUGUACGAUGUACAUACUUUCCACCUCCUGUGUGCCAUUGUGGCGACCCCUUUGACAUAUAAAAGGAGGCCCAAGGCGUACCGAGGGGGGAUUCAGACUUUUUGGGCUAGGCAUGCACCACAGCUAGUCCAGGAGCUCAAGAACACCAAAUAUACACCAAAGUAGGACUAGGGUAUUACGCAUCGUUUGCGGCCCGAACCUGGAUAAAAUUCUCCCGCGUUGAUCUUCUAGACCCGCUCUUUGCACAGCCCCGCGCCCCGCCAACCGUAGUAGGGAUUCCUCGUGAUCCCAUAGGUGUCGUUUCCCCGACAACGCCCUGGUGGGUUGUGGUCCCCACGUGGGCCCCCUCACUUAUCCCUUCACACCACAUCAUGACCAACCUCCAGAAAAAAUUCUGCAUUGCUCUCUCUCUCUUUCCCGUGUUCUUUCUCUCAAACCCGCAGAUUUCAUUCUCUUUGCUCGAAGCUCCGUUUCUGAAACUGUCUCGGGGGAUUGUUGCUUGGCAUGUGACUCAUCCGUUUGUCCAAUUAAUUUUUGUUUUAGUGGUUUAUAUUUUGAAUAAUUAGCUACUCUUGGUGCUACUGUAGAUGAUCUUACAUGUUGAAUUCUUAGAGUUAUAAGUAGUUUGAAUGCUUGCUAUGGCCUCCAUGUAUCCCUAUGAGUAGUUGCUAUCAAUCUUGUAAAGUUUUGUUGAGAAAAAUUUUGUGGACUAAAAAUUUCAGAUUUUUUGUUCAUAGGAAAAGGAUGAAUAUAUUUAGGAAAUUUGCUUCCAAGAAGAACUCCAAGGGAAUUAUUGGGGAGUCAUCUGAUAGUGAUCUCCAUCCCUGGAGGUUGGACUAAAAAUUUCAGAAUUUUUGUUCAUAGGAAAAGGAUGAAUAUAUUUUGGAAAUUUGCUUCCAAGAAGAACUCCAAGGGAGUUAUUGGGGAGUCAUCUGAUAGUGAUCUCCAUCCCCUAGUGCUCUCGGCGCGGCGUGGUCAACGUGGUCAAGGAACGACUUCCAUCGGAUGUGGACUGUACGUGGAGAGGCCGACAGCUGGGUCCACGGCGGCAGCAUGGAAGUGCCUCCUUAUUACGCGGAAAAUAAUGAUUCCUCCACCUGACAACAGGGACCCACCGGACGGGCCACCAUAUUUCAUGAAAAAAAUGUUUCCCCCCUGACUGCUGGGACCCACCAGCUACACCUUCGCACGCAAGGAAGUGCCUGACAGUCGGGACCCACCUGGUCGAAGCGUACGUAGCGUUGUCAUUCUGGUCGCGAACGUCUACGUACAUAUAUACUGGUGGAUGUAGAGGCGCGCAUGUGUCGUGGUAGAGGAGCGCAUGUAGCAUGUACACGUACGUACAUCGGCCAGGGUGCAAGAAAGAAAAUAUGGCCACAUAUGUGUACAUACGGGCGGGGUCUCAAACGCCUACUCACACAUACGUACGGCGAGGGCUCGUGUACAUGGCUGGGUCGGAACGGAGAAACAUCAUCGUCGUCAUGUUCAUGGGGAGGCAACGGAAUGCGUCGUGUUCAUCGGGAGGCAAUGUGGCUGGGUUGGAACAGAAUGCGUGGUUGUGUUCAUUGGGAGGGCUUGGACGGAAGAGGUGAUGGAAAUGAGGCCUGGCGUACCGCACAACGGAGGAAACAGACCUCCUACGGUUGAAACGGGGGUCCUGUUGAUCGAGAGGGGUGUGGCGUACCGCACAACGGAGGAAACGGACCUCCUACGGUCGAAACGGGGGUCCUAUUGAUUGGGAGGGGUGUGGUGUACCGCAAAAGGGAGGAAACGGACCUCCUACGGUCGAAACGGGGGUCUUGUUGAUCGGGAGGGGUGUGGUAUACCGCAAAACGGAGGAAACGGACCUCCUACGNNNNNNNNNNNNNNNNNNNNNNNNNNNNNNNNNNNNNNNNNNNNNNNNNNNNNNNNNNNNNNNNNNNNNNNNNNNNNNNNNNNNNNNNNNNNNNNNNNNNNNNNNNNNNNNNNNNNNNNNNNNNNNNNNNNNNNNNNNNNNNNNNNNNNNNNNNNNNNNNNNNNNNNNNNNNNNNNNNNNNNNNNNNNNNNNNNNNNNNNNNNNNNNNNNNNNNNNNNNNNNNNNNNNNNNNNNNNNNNNNNNNNNNNNNNNNNNNNNNNNNNNNNNNNNNNNNNNNNNNNNNNNNNNNNNNNNNNNNNNNNNNNNNNNNNNNNNNNNNNNNNNNNNNNNNNNNNNNNNNNNNNNNNNNNNNNNNNNNNNNNNNNNNNNNNNNNNNNNNNNNNNNNNNNNNNNNNNNNNNNNNNNNNNNNNNNNNNNNNNNNNNNNNNNNNNNNNNNNNNNNNNNNNNNNNNNNNNNNNNNNNNNNNNNNNCCACCCCUCCACGGGCACCCCUCCACCAUCUACUGCUCAUCCUGCCCUCCACACCACGGGGUCCUGUUCAUCCACCCCUCCACGGGCACCCCUCCACCAUCUACUGUUCAUCCAGCCCUCCACCACACCACGGGGUCCUGUUCAUCCAGAGGCAACGCCACCGCUCACUGUUCAUCCACCCCCCCGCAACACUCACUGUUCAUCCCAUCGAUCGGCUUCAGUUAGCAGCAGUAGCCAAGGAAUUGCUCGAUCGGGUUCAGUUAACAGCCAUCGAUCGAUCGCUCGGGUUUAGUAAUGCGUAGCCUGCAGUGCAAUCGCUCGGGUUCAGUUAGAGCCCAACGCCUCGCUCGGGUUCAGUUAGAGCCAACGCCUCGCACACACGCGCGUACGUGUACGAGAGAAACGCGCAUCGCUCGGCCCCCGACCUCCCACCGUAACCGGGAACUCCCAGUAAUUUCCCCCCUCGCUUCUACCAUGUUUUUUUCUGUCAUGGAUGGCCCAAAGAAUGUCAUGCAGCUGCGUCUCCGGCCCGCCCAGGACGAAAAGCCCAUUUUCUGUCAUGAUUUUUUUGUCAUAGAAGUAGGAGCCCACCACAUCUAUGAUGAUACCGGGUUUUGUCACAAUUAUCGUCAUAGAAGUGUCAUAUGUAUGACAAAAAAAAUUUCGUUUAGCCCAAAAUGUCACGGAUGUGUCUUUUUUUUGUAGUGAUAGAGCCUUCAAGUUCUAGGCCGGGUCAAACCUUUAGCCGGGUUAUAACCAUGGGGAAUAUCCCCAACACAACAAGUUAAUUUGCGGCUGAUGUCCUCCUCGUUCGAUCUCAAUUCCCAUACACUCAGUAGUGGAAGACCUAAAAUUCCCCGAUGGCGACGGUGACGGCCCAGAUCCAGAGUAAGCUGGGACCGUGACUUCUCCAGCAAGCUCUAUCGAGUUAAAGUGAUAGUUGAUGUUAGGAAACAAAUGAGAAAUCAUGUCUCUAUAGCUAAAUAUAAGAAAAGACAAAUCUUGAAAGCUAAGUAUGAAAGGUUGCCUUAUUGGUGUGUUGUUUGUCGCAUGAUUGGGCAUUUAUUUACAUUGCAUGGUGAGUGUGCUCUAAUCUUUAUGGAUGUGUGAUCAAAUUGGGUCAUGCGCUCUAUUGGUCAUGCUAGAGAUAGUAGCCAAUCUGAUAGAGUUGAUUCAAAUGGUAAUAUAUCAUGUGAUGUUAGAGGAUGAUAAGAAUAUGGAGAUUGAUGCUAACAAAAGUAAUGUGAAUGCUGAUCGGAACAACCUUGACCUGAGCCGAAAGUGAAACAUGGCAAUGUUUGGCAAGCAAUGCCUACAUGUUGGUGCUGCCACCGGUACUGGAGGUAGUAAUGAAACACCUCCCAAAGCUUUGUGAGACACUUCUAUAGUAUGACAUGCCAAGCUCCAUCAACCCACUUAACAACUCCACAAUCUACACCUCCCUGCAAAUCAUCUAUAACACUACCCUCUCUAGGUUUAAAGAGCCCACAUUCAAUUAAGGUCUCUAACUAGAAUUGGGUCACCGACUUUGGCCAGGUCAACAAUUUCGCAAAACUCUCUCAUUCAAUUAUUUUAUACUAUACACUAUGCUUUCUAAUUUUUAAGGCCUCAUAAUUAAUCGACGUAUUCAAUUUAUAAUUGUAUCAUCCAAUUUUGACCGGGUCAAUGAUUUCUCAAGCCCUCCCAUUCAAUUCUUUUAAUACACUAUGUUUUCCUAAUUUUGAAGUUCUUUCAUUUAAUUGAGGUAUUCAAUUUUGGAUUUGGUUUACGGUUUUGAUUGGGCCAACAAUUUUUUAAAUCAAUCAACAACAACCUAGCCUAUAAAAACAUAUCAAUCCCACACACCCUCCCACCACCUAGAAAAAAGAAGCGUCACCAUGUGAUAUUGUAGCAUCAAUAGUAUAUGCAACCACUGACAUAGAAAUUUCUCCACAUAAAUAUAGAGUUUAGCGGAUAACAUAGAAUCACACAACAAAAGGCCCACCAAAUCAACCCAUUAUAAAUAUAAAUAAAACACACUCUAUCAUCUCCUCACCCGCCAAAUAAAAUAUUUUAUCAGUUCCAAAAAUAUAAGGGGUAUCCUUUUUUUAUAAAGUUAAAUUUCUUUAACUUUGACCAAAUUCAGCGCAAAAAUAUCGACAUCCACAAUAUUAAAGAAAGUAUGGAAAUUCAUUUCAUGAUGAAUUAAAAAAAUACCAAUAUGAUAUUGUGGAUUUUGAUAUAUUUCUCUACAAAUUUGAUCAAACUUAAAAGGUUUGCCUUUUCAAAAAGUAACAAACCUUAUAUUUUAAAACUUAGUGUUUUUUAAAGAAACCCAACAAUAACAAUGGCGCAGCAAAGCGCGUCCAACCCUUCUAGUAAUAUUUGAACUCACAACACAAUUCAACGUACUACAACUAAAGUGUCGACGUCGGCGUCUAGAUGAGAGUGAGUAGGAGAGAGUGCAAGAGUGAGUGAAGCAGUGAGGGAGGGGAACGGAUCGGGGCCCUCUUUUGACCAGUUUCAGCUAAUAACCGUUACCCUCUCCGUCUCUGGUAGCCAAUGUGGCAGCUGUAAGCAAGCCCCAUCUCUCAGAAAUAGGAUUAAAUUGGCUCGAAUCGAUCAUUAGACUUUAUUGAGAAAACUAGCAAGGAAAGUGGCAGAUUUUGUUGCGUACAAGACAAGUGGUACCAAAACAAGAUUUCGAUGAGGAAGGUGGUAGUUUUUUGUAAUUCACACAAAGAUGACUAUGAUAUUUCUCUAUAAGUACGCCCCUGGAUAAGUUUUGGUAUUUCUUCCUAUGGCAUCCAUAAUAGCCAAGCAAUGUACGUGUUAGGGAUGGAUUGGAGACCAAUGAGACAGGCCAUCGCUUCAACUUGCUCUGCAUUUUUGUAUCUCGCAAUCUCGUAACUAUGCGUCCACAAGAGGCAGAUCCUUCCAAGGUGAUCCCCGGCGAUGCACCCCACAUGGCUACCGCCAUCAUGCGAAUGGAAAGUCUUGUCCAUGUUAACAUCCAACCCAUAUCCGAUGGUUUCUAAGAAACUAUGUUGCUCGAACUGGUUCCUGCAUUAGCCAUAAGACAAUUUUCUUUGUGAAUUUUGUGACACUCCAAAAUUUUAAUUUGGUUUUUAUCAAAAACUUUGUGGUUUUUGAAAAGAGGCCAUUUAAUUUUUUUUAGAAAAACCUUCCUCUUAAAAAACUUCCUUUUCUUUGGCAAGGUUUUUAUUUUUAUUCAAGCUAUGGUGUUUGAUCUUUUGAAACUUCUUCUCUGUUGGUUCCCUCUCAAAUCUAUUUUGGGAGUUUAAUUUUUUUCUUUUAAAAAGAAACUCUAUGAAAAUUUGGGAUUUUCAUAUCUUGAAAACCACCCAUGACUUGGCAUUUUGCCCAUGUGGUAAAACCCCUCCAAAACCUCCCCUCCUCCUUGUAAUCAACCUAAGUUCUCUGUCCCAACUAAUCUAAGCAAGUUUUGGAUUUUAUUCUAAUUAUUUUUCCUCUCAAAUCAUUUCUGAAAAUUAUUUGGAGCCUGAGUGAUUUUCAAAGCAAGUACCCUUUUGCAUUUGAGUUUUGACCUCAAACCAACUCUCCUGGAUAGUCCUUUGUACCCACAACCCAGAACCAUCUUGAUCCACUCCUUCUCUUUUCAAAUUUUUCAAAAUUCAGUCUCUGCAAGUUUGGACCAGAUUUGCCAAAUUUGAUGAAAUUCAUAUCUACACUCCUCCAAAAAUUCCACCAAAAUUCAGGCAGCCUACUUGAGCAAUGAGAAGCCACUCCACCAAAAAUCAGCUCAAGGAAAAAUCCCCAGAGGCCAAAUUCAUUCUGUCGAACACCUGAGCUGCACUGUUCCUUUGCAAGUUCAGAAAGUUCAGAGAUUCAGUCGUUUUCCCUUCGUCAGACUCGGUCACGCGGCCACAGUGCGCCCUGGCGCGUUGCACGCAGCCUCUUCUCCCUGGCCAGCACCCCGCACGCACGCUUGGCCGAUUCCUGGCGUCGGUAGCAACGAGCCUCGCCGGCGUUGGAAGCUUCUGCGGUGGCUGCACCUUCUGUGGCGGCCAACAAGGGCCCGAGCCCUCUCGCCAUGCCACCCGGCGCCGCCCAACACCCCCUGGCUCUCCGCGUGUCCCUGCCAUGCCAGCGCACGCCCGUGGCACCAUCGCCGUGGCCCGGCAAGCACGGAACGUGCUCCCUGCCGCCGACGGGCCGCGCCACCCCCGUUCCGUCGAGCUCGCCCAUAGCACCAAAUCCCAGCCCGUUUAGCACCUAAAUGGAACCGGUGGACCUCAACGGCGAUGCCCAAGCCCCUAAUCCCACUGCCCAACCACAGCACCGCCGUAAUCACUCGCCGGAGACCCCCGUUCACGGCAACUGCCUCGGGCCGCCUAUAAAAAGGGCCCCCGAGCUCACCCUCGUGCACGCAUCAUCACCACUCCUCACCAACGCCACGCCAGGCCACUAGGAGGUCCUCGAGGAGGUCUCCUCCCCCAACUCCGGCCGCCCCGAUCCGCCUCGGCCUCCACCACGAUUCGCUCCGCCCUCUCCGACGAGUCCCUCGACCACCCGAGCGCCACCGUCCACUGGAGCAAAGCUUGCCGUCGACGUGGUACUCGCCGACGACCACCACCACCACCAACCGACGCGGAAUGGCGCCCUGAGCACGGAGAUACCGAAGGAGGUGACGGAGCCGCGAACUUCACCGAGCUAGGCUCCGACUACUCUGAACCAGGCAAGCAUGUUUGAACUUUUGAUAUGAUGAGUGUCUUGGCAUGUUUUGCAUUUAGUUAGUUUCAUGGCAUGUUGAGAAGCAUAUCGAUGAACGUUAUUUUAUGCAAUAUUGAGGUAAGUGAGUUCGAUGAUCCAUAAGUGGAUGGAUGUGAGUAUGAAUGGCCAUGUGUUGGCAUGAGGAUGGGUAAGAUGGCAGUGUCGUAGCAUGCCAGUCUUAUGCCAGACUAUGUGACUUCAGUGUCAAACCGUAUCGGUCCAGUUCCUCUCAUUUCCUUCCCUGUACUACCACAUGUUUUCCGCAAGGAAUAUGGUUUAGUAAGUUGCAAACCGCUUUUCUGGUACACACCAAAAGGAGAGGCCGUGAUGAUGGUUCCAGGCCCUGGAUUAAAGCCAGUCAUCCGGUCAGGGGGCAUGGGUGUUUCCGGUUGGGACCGAGAGGGGGGCACCCCUUAGAGCGCGCGUAUAUAAAUUUGAUCCCAUGCUAUUCGAUAUUGUGAUCUCCCCGUCUCAAAUGUUUUUCUUGGAAGAUGUCUAGGGUGAUUCCUAGCAUCAAGAGGUAGGAUGGGUGUGUACUGGUUAGCUGUGUUUUCUUCCGAAAUACCGUAAACGGAACUAGUCCUUCGUGACUACGGAAAUCCGUUGGCUGAGGAAAAAUUUUGUACAAACUCUGUAGAGUCAUAUAUUCCUCCAAAUCAUCUAUUCCAUGUCCUAGAUCGAUAUUAUCUUAUCCUAAUCAAAUGUCAGUUUUGAUGACAGAGACUCCGGUGAUUCGCAUGAGUGCUAAUUCCGGUUAAUUGAUUAUUCCUGUGGAUGGACUAACCCAUUUAUUCUCAUGAAUUAAAUGUUUAUUAUGAGUAUUCUUUACUUGUGAAUAAAAGCCCUUUUUGCGAUGUCGCUCAGACGUCCGACUGUGGCAUUGUUGUAUUCUACUUUCUUUUCAAGCCCUUUAUGCGAUGUCGCUCAGACGUCCGACUGUGGCAUUUCUUUUAAAGCCCUUUCUGUGAUGUCGCCCCGACGUCCGACUGUGGCAUUUCUUUUAAAGCCCUUUCUGUGAUGUCGCUCCGAUGUCCGACUGUGGCAUUUCUUUUAAAGCCCUUUCUGUGAUGUCGCCCCGACAUCCGACUGUGGUAUUUCUUUUAAAGCCCUUUAUGUGGUGUCGCUAAGACGCCCGACUGUGGUAUCAUUUCCUUAUAUUUAUUUGUUCACCUUUCGAGGCGUCGCUUCAGACACCCGAUCGGUAGUUAUUUAUGUUUUGUUGGGAUUUCAGGCGGACUACCGCCGUUUCCCUUUUAUUUACCUUGUUAUGCUAAUUUUUUGAAUGUACAUUGGUGAAUUAUUCAUGACGCAUCCAUGCAUGCAUUUGUUAUAUCUUACGUCCGAACUGUCUUGCGAGUACUUUCAAAGUACUCACUGGCUUGUUGAUUUGGCCAGAUGCUGACGAAGGCGAUCUCAUGGAUGAAGAGUUUGAUAGCGAGUCCGACACCUAGAGGAGUCCCAGUCAGUCUCGUGCGACCCUAGAUUUGGUCACUGUUUUAUAUCCGCUUCCGCUACCAAAUAAAUUCAUCGAGCCUCACCUCGACGCUCGAUAAGAUGACAGACUUAGAGUCUUGUAUUUCUCUCCCCGUUGUGUUUCUCCACCACCGCCCUAUCCUCGAGUCAGUAGUAUGCCUCCACACCACUAUGUCAUGUCCGCCAUUAUGUAUAAUUAUUGGCGUGCUUGUAAUAAUUUGGUUGAGCAACCGUAGUUCGACCCUGUAAUAUAUUUUAUGCUACUGGCUUAUUGUAUCAAGAAUCUGUCUACCAGUGAGGAGGAUUUCUCUCAUACUGGACUCAAAAGAUUGGUUUCUCAAUAAAUAUUUUUAUUGGAAAACCGGUCGUGACAAAUUUACCAUAAGAUCUUGAAUGUAUCUAGUCAACAAAUUAAUAGUUAGAUAUUUUACAUUCCCCUUUAUCAUGAACCACGUCGCAUCGGAGGUGCCAGGAGGCUCUCCAAAGAAUCGUGAAGAUCAUGUCUAUUAUAUCCUUGCUCACAUUGAACAAAAGGAAUGCAUCUGGAACAAUCUUACACAAGAAAAGAAAACUUCUUACACAAUGAGAACUCAAACAAGAAAAGAAAGAUCGAUCGGAUCCGGAUGUAGGUUUUUUCACAGAUUCUUCUAAUGUUCUGAUCCAUGCAUGAACCAGCCGGGCCUCAUUCAUCAAACAAUAUUGCUUCGACUAUCGUGGAGUGAGGCCUUGACCCAUAUGUUGAUUAUUUAGGCCUUGUUCGUUUAUCCCUGGCUGGAUCAGGGCCCAAACCAUAUGUAUUUUUUCCUUUUUUUUCACCAUAUGUAUAUUAUUCUGCCCCAAAAACAGUGUUUUGCCUUUUGAUUUGAUAGGAACCUAACACUGUUGACUCGGUGCAAAACUCCGGCAGCCAACAAAUAAACUAACACUGCGUUUAAUAAACUAACAUAUGCUCGUUCGUGCAGGGAAAAACUGUCGUUGUUCGCUCUGCCAAAAAAGAUAAAUGCAUUUCCCUAAAAAAGAUAAAUGCAUAGGAAAUGCGGCUGCCUUGAAAGAUUAGAAAAAAACUACUCAUGCAAAUUUAAAACAUGUUCAUGGAAUUUUAAAUAUUCCUGAAAAUUUAAAACAUGUUCAAAUUUUUUUAUAAUAUUCACGAAUUUAAUAUAUGUUCAUGUUCCUUAAAGAUGUUCAAGGAUUUAAAAAAUAUAAAUUCUUAAUUUUAACAUGUCCACGGAAAAUGUUCCCAAAUUUUAUAAAAAAUUAUAGUAUUCGUGUAUUGCAGAAAUGUUUACAUAUUUGAAAAAUGUUCACCAAUUUAUGAAAUAUCCAUGAAUUUAAAAAAUGUUCAUAUGUUUUACUAAUGAUUGCUCGUUUAGAAAAUUUUCAUGUGUUUUCAAUAAUUUUUCACAAAUGUAUAAACUAUUCAUGAUAUUUUAAAAUUUUCAUGAAUAUUCCUAAAAAAAUUAAAUGUCUCGUGAAUUUUAACAAUGUCGAUGUUUUUUAAGAACAUGCGUUUUAAAAAUGUUCACAACUAUAUAAAAACACAUUCCAUGUAUUUAAAACUAUUCAAAAAAUCUUUUAAUAUAUGAUAGUAAAUUUAAGAAUAUUUAUGAAUUAUGGGAAUGCUCUCUAUAGUUUUUGUUGAGUUUUAGGGUUUCCUCUUUAUUUAAUAUUUAUUGUCGUUUUGCUAUUUUUUUCCUUCUUUUUGUAUAGGUUUUCUUUUAUCUUUUUUUAAUCAUGAACAUGGAGGAUUCGAUGAAGGAUAAUAGUGUUGAAUGCAAAAGGAGUCGUGUAACAUCCCCGGAGUAAUCCCCUAACUAUUUUUUCCUAUGAUAUUGGUUGUGCAUCAUAUGCAUCUCAUAAGCAUUAUAUUGUGUUAAUUGAUUAAUUUGGUUACCCUCCGGAGAGGGGGAUUCUUUGACAUCGUCAACACCAACCUCUUCUCCAUCACCACCAUCAUGAUCUCCCACUCAUGUCUGAGUAAUUUCUUUGUGGGCACAUGGGGUGGGUGGAAAUUGGAUCACACAUCUCUUAUGUAAUAGAUGUCGGAUUUGAUAUGGUUUGUGCCUAGUACCUUGUAUGUUUCUGAGACUGAUGUUGUUGUGACUUUGUUAUACUUAAUGCUUGACACUAGGGCCCAAGUGUCAUAAUUUCACAUUUGAACCCUUUAUGUUUUCAUGAAUAUACAUGUGUUUUUGGAUCAUAUCUGCAAGUUGUAUGCGUCUAUUAUAGUUAAAAGCCAGAGACCUUGAAGUGACAGCAAUCGUGUCACACCCUAGCUAGUCAUGCAUCAGAGUGUGUGCAUCAUGUUUAAAUUUCCAUUUAAUUUGAAAUGGGGAUUUGUGAAACCCUCAGAAUCAUUUUUGAAAAUGAUCCAAAUAAAAAUUUCUCCAAAAAGGUCCAAGAAAAUGCUCAUGUUGCUCUCUGAAAAUAUUGGACAGAGAUAAAAAUCAAACCAAUAUUUUUAAGAGCUCAUAGGUAUUUAUUUUGGGCAUUUGGAAUUAAUGCAUAAAUAUUUGCAUUGGAAAUAUAUUAGUUAUAUAUAUUAAUAUAUGUCCAAAUAUUAUGCCAUUUAUAAAGGAGCUCUGGAAUAAUAUAUCUAGCCCCUGCAAAAAUUGGCAUAAGGUAAAUAAAUGAUUUAAUAUUUUAUUUAAAUCAAAACAAAUGUCAGAAAUUAUAAAAACAGAAAACAGAAAAAAAGGGAAAACUUACCUGGCGCCACCACAGGCCCACCAGCCAGCCCACCUGGCCGGCCCAGCCCGGCCACCGCUCCAGCGAGCUGCUUGGCUUGCCAGGCAGGCAGCCAAGGUGCUCGGCGGCGGCACCGCAGCUCGCCACGCAGCUGCACGUCGCCCUGCUUCCCCCUCUCGCCGCCCUGCUGGCCUGGACGAGCUCCACGUCGCGCCCCGACCCCUCUGGACACCUCCAUUCGCCCCCAGUUCCUCUCCCUCGCGCUCCCACGCCAUGGCCGACGCCACCGUCGCCGCACCGCCGCCGUAGCCGUGCUCCCCGUCGUCUCCACGCCGCGCCACCGUGCCCAGAAGCUCCGCCGUCCUCUACUUCUUCGAGCUAGCCGAGCCCCGAGCGCUCGCGUGCCCCGAAGCCGCCGCACCAACCUCGCCCGAACCGCCAUCGCCGGAGAUCCCCUUCGCCGUCGCCGCUGCAGCAGCUCAUCCCCGACCACGCCGUCCUUUCCAUCAAGACCGCAGUGAGCUGUGCUAACUUCCCCUUCCUCUCUUUCUCUCUCUCGUGCACCACAGCGAGCACACUAAGCUCACCCGCACGCGCCGUCGCGGACCUCUUCGCCGACGUGCUCCCGGCCAUCCUCCGGCCACCUCACCUUGUCCAUCGCACUCACCACGCCGCGUUGGGGCUAACCAUGCACUCCUCGCACCUCACCGCACACUCUAGCCACGAGUUCGUAUUCAACCGAACUCCGGCGGCCGCCAAAGUCGCCGCCGGCGCCAACUCCGGCCACCCCGAGCCCAACCACCACCACCAAUAGUCGCGGCUCAACCUCAGCAACACGUAGAUGCCUUCCGCCGUCCAUUUGGUUGCCGGAAUGGCAAAAAGCACUUUCGUCGCCGCGUCGGGCUCGCCGGCGGCUAGACGCCGGCGUGUUUGACUCUGACUUUGACCACGGGUGGGCCCCGGUUGACCCCCUGGGUCUAUGACAUGUGGGGCCCCCUUUGUUAAUUAAUCCAGUUAGUUUAAAUCUAAUUUAGUUAAACUAAUUGAAUACUGACAUGCGGGACCCACUGGUCAGUUUGACCUGGACCAUCCCGUUGACCACUGACGUCAUCAUGACGUAGUGCUGACGCAGUAAUUUAAUUACUGGAAUUAUUUUUACACAGGAAAUUCCAGAAAAUGUUUCAAACUUCCAAAAUUCAUAUAAAAUCAACCGUAGCUCCAAAUCAAACAAGUUAUAUAUGAAAAAUGAUCAGAAAAAUCCAAUCUUUCCAUCUGUACUGGUUUCAUGCAUGUUUAAGCAAGCUAACCUGCUGUUUAUCACAGAACAAGAUAAAACACCUUAAAUGGCAACUUAUGAGUUUGAACUUUGAAUCAAUGGUUCAAAUUAGUUCAAACCCAUCUGUUCUUAGUUGCAUUAGCCCAAUACACUCAUUUUGCCAUGUCUCAUGCAUGCAUCAUAUUGUUGCAUACUGUUUGGUAAUGUUUGUGUAUGGGUGCUCUCUGCGGCAGGUUCUGCCCCCGAGGAGUACCGUGAUAACCCCGACGAAGAGCAAUACCAGUGCACCGACCCGUCAGGCAAGCAACCAAAAAUUUGAUCAUAUCGAUACAAUCCCAUGUUCUCGCUCCUGCUCUCUUUUACUGCAUUAAGAUAACGCGUUUCAAACUGCUGUGUGCUACGGUAGUUGAACCCAUUUCCUCUGCAUGACCUGUCAUUGCCACAGUAACUAGAUGAAACCCACUAGCAUGUGUAGGAGUUGAUUGAGCCAUAUGUAUGUGUUGUUCCUACCUUGCUAUGCCUGCUAUGCUUAGAGUCGUGUCAGGUCUGGCUCAUCUGGGUGAUGGCUAGACUGAAAUGAUUAUGUCGGUAAUGAGAGUGGUGUGGUGAACACGAUUUGGUAAAGGUAUCGAUGAGAGGCCAUGUAGGAGUACAUGGUGGGUUGUUUCAUUGAAGCCGACCUUAAGCACUGAGAUCUGUAUGUGUGAUUUAAGAUACAACUACUACCAUGCAUUGGGCCCUGAAAUAUGACCCCGCUCGACUUCUUAUUCACCCUAGCUCUCUGUCCAGGAGUUGCAAGUAGUUUCUGGUGUUUGUAGCCUACUGGAGGCCGUGGACAGUGCUGACCGUAGGGGUGGGCUGUGAUGCGGUAGGUACGUGGCCGGGUGUACCGAAUACCCGUUAGGUAUCUCGGGAACCCUGUUCACAUCGUUCGGGGCCGUAUGGGAAACCUCGGCCGGACUCCCUGCGGAUGGAACCUGAAUAGGCGAUAAACCUGGACUAGAGGCUUAAGUGUUUAGGUAGGUCGUGGUCUACACCCACGUCGGCUUUCGCUUGAAGUCUGCCGAGCACAUAUCGUGUGCAGACGCUAAGUGGUGGAAACAUGUAUGAAGAAGUACACCCCUGCAGGGUUAUCAUGAUCUAUUCGAAUAGCCGCGUCCGUGGUAAAGGACUACUUGGUUGCCUAUACAGUUCAUAGACAAGUAAAUGGAAACUACUAAAAGCCUCAAGAUAAGUGUGAGUGCCGAGGAUGGCUCUUCCGUAGGAAGACGGAGGUGGAUCCUCGGUAGUGUAUUGAAGUGGUGAGUAGUGGACUCGUGUGCGCAAAACCAUUUCAAGUUGGAGUCUCGUAGGAUAGCCUAGCCAAGAGUCAAAGCUGGCUUGCUGCAACAACUCCACCAACCCUUCUUGAUAAUGUGCAUGUAUGUAGGAUCUAAUGUAAGUCUUGCUGAGUACCUUUGUACUCAUGUUGCUAUAAUUUACAUUUUUACAGAAGACGCUGCAACCCCUUCUGAUGGGUUCUUCGUAGACGUUGACAUCAAUGAGUAGGCUAAGGCCCAGGUGGUGAUCCUGAGCUUGUGAAGGACCACGUAGUAUAGCUAGGCUUCCCAAGCCUCUUUUUAUUUUACUAGUUGUCUGUACUCAGACAAGCUACUUCCGCUGCUGGUUUGUAUGACUGUAUGACUUGAAUGCUGGGUCGUGUGACCCGUACCUAUGUGUAUGUUAUGUAUGGCUCUCUGAGCCUUAAAUAAAGUACUUGUGUCGUAGAGUCAUGUUGUGAUGCCAUGUUGUAUUUGCACAUAUCGAGCAUACUGUGUGUAUGUUAUUGAAAUGCUUGGUAUGUGUGGGAUCUGACUAUCUAGUUGUUUAUCUUUAGUAGCCUCUCUUACCGGGAAAUGUCUCCUAGUGUUACCGCUGAGCCAUGGUAGCUUGCUACUGCUCUGGAACACUUAGGCUGGCCGGCAUGUGUCCUUCUUCGUUCCGGUGUCUGUCCCUUCGGGGAAAUGUCACGCGUUGAGUACCGGAGUCCUGUUAGCCCGCUACAGCCCGGUUUACCGGAGUCCUGCUAGCCCAGUGCUACAGCCCGGACCCACUUGCUGAUGACCGACACGUUCGAAGCUGGGUCAUGGAUGCCUGUCCCUGUAAGUCUGUGCCACUUUGGGUUUACGACUAGUCAUGUCAGCCCGGGCUCCUUAUCAUAUGGAUGCUAGCGACACUAUCAUAUACGUGAGCCAAAAGGCGCAAACGGUCCCGGGCAAAGGUAAGGCGACACCCGUGGGGAUACCGUGCGUGAGGCCGCAAAGUGAUAUGAGGUGUUACCGGCUAGAUCAAUGUGACAUCGAGUCGGGGUCCUGACAGCGUUGGCAUCAGAGCCGGACUGCCUGUAGGUUCUCCAAGCCAAACUGGUCGAUGUUGAGUCUAGAAAUUCUUUAGUUAUAUGUAGGGGAAUUGUUUGUGGGUUGGAACAUAAGGCUCUUUUUACUCCUCUAUCUUGUGGCAUUCUGAUCUGAGUCAGUCUAUUCUUCCACCGGGGGUUAAGGAAUUAGGACCUAUUCUCUCUAUCAGGAUCACGUGUUACUAAUCAGUAGUACCUUAUAGGUAUGAUGGAUACAAGCCUAGUUCAGUUCUUUUACCAUAUUAUGUUGCUAGGAUGGUCUCAGAACUUGGUAUGAUGAUGUUGAGUGUGUAUGAAAUCCUUUGUCAAAUGUCUCAAAAUCCUUCUUGAGCAUUUACAGCUGUUAUGCUGCCGAAAUUUUGCUAGAAAUUCUAAUGCCUUUGCAUUAUGAUUGUGCUUUCAGAUGGCCACUCGCGACCUCAAUCAAGUGGUUCGCCUGACUCGAUGCCUAGAUGUACCCGGCCAUACUGCCAAGUUGGUCAGGGUAAUGACUGAGGCUGGAUACCGCUGGUAUCCUGAGUACACGGUCGAAGAGCAAUUUCGGGACUUCAAUCAAAGCCAGUAUCUCUGCACUGUCAGGAUAUUUCCAUCUUAUCCUGGAUCCACCGAGCCUCUUCACUGCUCCUAUGGACUCGGGGUUACUAUUGAGAUGGCUGUGCAGGACGCCGCCUACUCUAUGAUGACCAUUAUGCGAGUCAGAUCUGGUCUAUUUCGAGACUCUGAUUUCCGGUAUAUGCCAGGAUCACUUCCGGGAGCACAAGGGUAUCUCCAGGCUAUCUAUGCUGACCCCACUCAGGAGGAUUCACGGACUCGCACCACUGCUGAGAUGCUCGAGGAUAAGGACCGUGAAAAUCGGGCCUUGAGGUUAGAGCUCUUCAAUACCCGUGCUGACCACUGGGCCACAUUGACUCGGUUUGCACCGGCGGUGCAAGCUGGAUAUUCGGAUAUGCGCGAUCUCUAUCCUGUGAGAUCUGCUCUGCCAGACGUGAUGGGUUGGCGUGAUGUAGGAGGCAUCACCCACCUCGUGGUCCCCGCAGGCCACCGUCUGUUGGUCCAAGACCUCAUCCUAGCCCCUAUGGUCCACAAGCUCCGCGAGAUCGUCUGUUUCCGGAUGAUCAUGUUGAGCUUCCAGGCUAUGGAGGUGACUUCUACGAGGACUACUACGGAUCGGUCUGAGUUAGUGGUAGUAUCACUAGUUCGCACUAGCUGUGUCGUCUAUCGUCCCGCGUGACUCGUGGGAUAUGACCUAGUUUGUACUCUUUCCGGAGGUGUAGAAAAAUAAUGUAUAGGAGCUUGGGAUGCCUCCGAUAAGAUGUAAUCCUCUUUCACCGUAAUAGUACUUUGUUUGGUCUUGUACUAAACCCUGUAUGGUGUGUAUGACGAUGGAAUAAAGAAGCAGUUUCUGUAUCUACCAUGUCAUACGGAUGAUCAUCUUGCAUUUCGAGUUAUUCCUUACAUUCUGUAUCCUAUGUCGGAAUUUUAUCAUUCUGACUAAAUCAUUGUCUUGUUUACCUAGGAUGGUCAACACGCGCACUAACCCUGCUCCUCAAGAGCAGGCCGAAGGCAGUGAAGGCAGGAAUGCAAAUCUGCCUCAUCCUCCUUCCCUAGCCGAGGUUAUGAUGGAAGCUGAGAGAAACAAGCGGGAGACCAACCGUUUGUUGGAGCGUAUUGAACAGAAUACAGCACACCAUCAGAGGACUAACGUGGUGUCACUCAGUGAUUUUAUCAAAUUGCAUCCACCCACGUUCCACCACUCCGUCGAGCCUCUCGACGCUGAUGACUGGCUUCGUAGUAUCUCUCACAAACUGCGUUCCGCGCUGGUAGCGGAGGCUGACAAGGUCACCUUUGCUGCAUAUCAUCUUGAAGGCCCCGCUAGUCUAUGGUGGGAGAAUUAUGGAGCUAUGCGCCCUGCGGGCCAUGUCACUACUUGGGCUGAAUUCAGCGAGGCUUUCCGUGAACAUCACAUUCCGGAGGGUCUCAUGGACCGUAAACGUGAGGAAUUUUGCAGUUUCACCCAAGGCUGACUCUCUGUGGAUGCUUAUAGCAGGGAGUUUGGUAAUCUCGCACGAUAUGCAACCGAGGAAGUUUCUACCGAUGCCAAGAAGCAAGCAAGGUUCCGUAAGGGGCUUAGUCCUGAGCUUCGCCGCGACCUCCGUCUGCAUGAGUGCACAUCUUUUCAGAAACUUGUCAACAAGGCCAUCAGUGCUGAAACUGGUCAGACUGAUUAUGACGCAACACGCAAGCAUGGCCGUGACAUGGGUUCCUCGUCCGGUGCUGGUCCUCAGAAGCGCCGCGUGUGGGUGCCCAACACUGCCCUGCCACCCAGGUUCACACUGAGGCCAUCCUUCCAGGCGCCUCGCCCCGUUCAACAGUCUGCACCAGCCAAGCCCUAUGGUGGUCCAACCAACAAUGCUCCUCCACGUACCAGUUCCGUGACCUGUUUCAAGUGUGGGGAAUCUGGUCACUAUAUGCGUGAGUGUCCCCAGACCAACCCCAAUCAAUCUGCUAAAGCUGUUGGCCGUGGCAAGCCGACAGGGAAAGUGUUCCACGCCAAGCCGAUCACCGCCUCACGUGGCCAUGUCAACUAUAUCUCUGCCGAAGAAGCUCAAGAGGAUUCCAACGUCGUUCUCGGUACGCUUCUUGUUAAUUGCCACCCGGCAUCUGUUCUUUUCGAUACAGGAGCCUCUCAUUCUUUUAUAUCCGAAAAUUAUGCUCGUUUGCAUAACGUUGCAUUCUGUGACAUGCCAUCCACUAUGGAAAUUUCUACUCCCGGGUCUAGAUGGCAGACCUCUAGGGUAAGUUAUGGAAAUGAAAUCCAAGUCGACAGACUUGUUUUCCUCGCGUCAUUGAUAGCCCUUAAAUCUUCAGAUAUUAAUAUCAUUCUGGGUAUGGACUGGAUGUCGGCUCAUCAAGCCAAAAUUGAUUGCUUCUCUAGGACUGUUCAACUCACUCAUCCUUCGGGGAAGAUAGUCAAUGUCUUGACCCGAAUAGCCAAGCGACAAUUAUAUUCUCUUAACGCCAGCCCUUUGCCAGACCUUGAGGACAUUCCGGUAGUCUGUGACUUCCCGGAUGUCUUUCCAGAGGAAUUGCCAGGUGUUCCACCUGACAGGGAUGUUGAGUUCGUAAUAGACCUCAUCCCAGGAACCGUUCCGAUUGCUAGAAGACCUUAUAAGAUGGCACCCCUAGAACUAGCCGAGCUUAAGAAACAACUCGAUGAGUCCUUGAAAAAGGGUUUCAUCCGACCUAGCUCAUCUCCGUGGGCUUGCCCCGUCCUAUUCGUCAAGAAGAAGGAUGGUACGGACCGGAUGGUUGUAGAUUACCGACCUGUCAAUUUGGUCACAAUCAAGAACAAAUAUCCGCUUCCCAGGAUCAACGACCUGUAUGAUCAGCUCGCUGGAUCCUCAGUCUUCUCCAAGAUGGAUUUGAGGUUGGGCUACCAUCAAAUCAAAAUCAGAAACGGGGACAUUCCUAAAACGGCCUUUGUUACUCGUUAUGGCCAAUACGAGUACACCGUCAUGUCCUUCGGCUAAACCAACGCUCCAGCCACCUUUUCUCGGUUAAUGAACUCAAUCUUCAUGGAGUAUUUGGAUAAAUUCGUCGUUGUUUACCUCGAUGAUAUACUCAUCUACUCCAAGAACAAGGAAGAACAUGCCGAACAUCUAAGGCUAGUGUUGCAGAAACUUCGAGAGCAUCGCCUUUAUGCCAAAUUUUCUAAAUGUGAAUUCUGGUUGUCAGAAGUGACCUAUCUGGGUCAUGUAAUAUCUGGUAAAGGUAUUGCUGUUAACCCUGAGCGAGUUCAAGCUGUCCUUAAUUGGACUCCACCUGAAUCGGUCAAGCAAGUUCGGAGUUUUCUGGGCUUAGCGAGCUAUUGCCGUCGCUUUGUCGAGAACUUCUCCAAAGUUGCCAAACCUCUAACCGAACUCCUCAAGAAAGAUAAGAAGUUCGAAUGGACUCCACAAUGUGAGCACAGCUUUCAGGAACUGAAAAGACGCCUGACCUCUGCUCCCGUACUGGUACCGCCAGACUUCUCCAAGGACUUUGUUAUCUACUGCGACGCCUCGCGACAAGGACUAGGUUGCAUUCUCAUGCAAGAUCGACACGUAAUUGCUUACGCCUCACGGAAAUUGCACCCACAUGAGGAGAAUUAUCCUACUCAUGAUCUAGAGCUUGCAGCCGUAGUCUAUGCACUUAAGACCUGGCGGCAUUACCUCCUCGGUAAUCGUUGCGAAAUAUUCACUGAUCACCAAAGUCUGAAGUACAUUUUCACCCAACCGGAUCUGAAUCUCAGGCAAAGACAUUGGGUUGAAUUGAUCACAGACUUCGACUUAGGAAUAACCUACACCCCAGGGAAAGCCAACGUCAUGGCGGAUGCGCUAAGUCAUAAAUCUUAUUGUAACAACCUGAUGUUACAACAAAGUCAACCGCUUCUCCAUGAGGAAUUUCGGAAGCUUAACCUUCACAUUGUACCUCAAGGUUUUCUUUCCACCUUGGUGGCAAAACCUACUCUUACGGAUCAAAUCAUCGCUGCCCAAAAGCGAGAUAAGGGAAUAUCUAAAAUCAAAGAGAACAUUGCUAGCGGAGGUGCGAGUUGUUUCUCCACAAAUGAUCAUGGUGUUGUGUACUUUGAGAACCGUCUAGUGGUUCCCAAGAACCAGCAUCUACGGCAGUUGAUCCUUAAGGAGGCUCAUGAAUCUCCUCUCACUAUUCAUCCCGGUAGUACUAAGAUGUAUCAGGACCUACGCCAGAGGUUCUGGUGGACUAGGAUGAAGAGAGAAAUUGCUCAGUAUAUUGCUAAUUGCGACGUCUGUCGUCGUGUAAAAGCAGAGCAUCAACGGCCUGCUGGCACCCUUCAACCCUUAGCUAUUCCUGAAUGGAAAUGGGAUAAAAUUGGUAUGGAUUUCAUUACCGGUUUUCCCAGGACCAAGAGAGGGAAUAAUGCUAUUUUCGUCGUUGUCGAUCGUCUCUCCAAAGUAGCCCAUUUCUUACCUGUUCGUGAGAGUAUAACCGCUAGCCAGCUGGCAGACUUAUACAUCUCCCGAAUAGUGUCUCUCCAUGGUGUUCCUUUGGAAAUUAACUCGGAUCGAGGAAGUCUUUUCACCUCUCGAUUUUGGGAAAGUUUCCAAAAUGCUAUGGGAACCCGUCUCUCCUUUAGCACCGCCUUCCACCCUCAGUCGAGUGGUCAAGUGGAACGCGUCAACUAGAUUCUAGAAGACAUGCUUCGAGCCUCUGUUAUCUCAUUCGGAAUGGACUGGGAGAAGUGCCUUCCAUUUGCCGAAUUCGCUUACAACAACAGCUAUCAAUCUAGCUUAGGUAAAGCCCCUUUUGAAGUUCUCUAUGGACGACGGUGUCGAACACCCCUUAACUGGUCAGAGACCGGGGAAAGACAAUUCUUUGGCCCGGAUAUGAUUCAGGAAGCAGAAGAACAAGUUCGUAUCGUUCGUGAAAAGUUGAAAACAGCCCAAUCUCGUCAAAAGAGUCAAUAUGACCGAAAACAUAAGGCUAUGACUUUCGAGGUUGACGAGAAGGCUUAUCUUCGGGUCACCCCUCUGAAGGGAACCCAUCGUUUCGGUAUCAAAGGCAAAUUGGCUCCUCGUUACAUUGGACCUUUUCGCAUUCUCGCCAAACGAGGAGAAGUCGCCUACCAGUUGGAACUACCUCCGCACCUCUCCAGAGUCCACGAUGUCUUCCACGUUUCUCAACUCAGGCAUUGCUUCUCGGAUCCUGUCCGUGGAGUGGACCACGAAACGCUUGAUCUCCAAGAUAAUCUUACAUAUCGAGAGUACCCCAUUCGUAUCCUCGAUCAGGCCGAACGUACCACCCGACGUCAUAAUAUCAAGUUUCUCAAAGUUCAAUGGUCGCACCAUUCUGAGGAUGAAGCAACUUGGGAAAGGGAGGAUCGUCUUCGACUUGAGUAUCCCGCCUUCUUUCCGGAGGAACCCAAAUCUCGGGACGAGAUUCUUUUGAGUGGGGGUGAGUUGUCACACCCUAGCUAGUCAUGCAUCAGAGUGUGUGCAUCAUGUUUAAAUUUCCAUUUAAUUUGAAAUGGGGAUUUGUGAAACCCUCAGAAUCAUUUUUGAAAAUGAUCCAAAUAAAAAUUUCUCCAAAAAGGUCCAAGAAAAUGCUCAUGUUGCUCUUUGAAAAUAUUGGACAGAGAUAAAAAUCAAACCAAUAUUUUUAAGAGCUCAUAGGUAUUUAUUUUGGGCAUUUGGAAUUAAUGCAUAAAUAUUUGCAUUGGAAAUAUAUUAGUUAUAUAUAUUAAUAUAUGUCCAAAUAUUAUGCCAUUUAUAAAGGAGCUCUGGAAUAAUAUAUCUAGCCCCUGCAAAAAUUGGCAUAAGGUAAAUAAAUGAUUUAAUAUUUUAUUUAAAUCAAAACAAAUGUCAGAAAUUAUAAAAACAGAAAACAGAAAAAAGGGAAAACUUACCUGGCGCCACCACAGGCCCACCAGCCAGCCCACCUGGCCGGCCCAGCCCGGCCACCGCUCCAGCGAGCUGCUUGGCUUGCCAGGCAGGCAGCCAAGGUGCUCGGCGGCGGCACCGCAGCUCGCCACGCAGCUGCACGUCGCCCUGCUUCCCCCUCUCGCCGCCCUGCAGGCCUGGACGAGCUCCACGUCGCGCCCCGACCCCUCUGGACACCUCCAUUCGCCCCCAGUUCCUCUCCCUCGCGCUCCCACGCCAUGGCCGACGCCACCGUCGCUGCACCGCCGCCGUAGCCGUGCUCCCCGUCGUCUCCACGCCGCGCCACCGUGCCCAGAAGCUCCGCCGUCCUCUACUUCUUCGAGCUAGCCGAGCCCCGAGCGCUCGCGUGCCUCGAAGCCGCCGCACCAACCUCGCCCGAACCGCCAUCACCGGAGAUCCCCUUCGCCGUCGCCGCCGCAGCAGCUCGUCCCCGACCACGCCGUCCUUUCCAUCAAGACCGCAGUGAGCUGGGCUAACUUCCCCUUCCUCUCUUUCUCUCUCUCGUGCACCACAGCGAGCACACUAAGCUCACCCGCACGCGCCGUCGCGGACCUCUUCGCCGACGUGCUCCCGGCCAUCCUCCGGCCACCUCACCUUGUCCAUCGCACUCACCACGCCACGUUGGGGCUAACCAUGCACUCCCCGCACCUCACCGCACACUCUAGCCACGAGUUCGUCUUCAACCGAACUCCGGCGGCCGCCAAAGUCGCCGCCGGCGCCAACUCCGGCCACCCCGAGCCCAACCACCACCACCAAUAGUCGCGGCUCAACCUCAGCAACACGUAGAUGCCUUCCGCCGUCCAUUUGGUUGCCGGAAUGGCAAAAAGCACUUUCGUCGCCGCGUCGGGCUCGCCGGCGGCUAGACGCCGGCGUGUUUGACUCUGACUUUGACCACGGGUGGGCCCCGGUUGACCCCCUAGGUCUAUGACAUGUGGGGCCCCCUUUGUUAAUUAAUCCAGUUAGUUUAAAUCUAAUUUAGUUAAACUAAUUGAAUACUGACAUGCGGGACCCACUGGUCAGUUUGACCUGGACCAGCCCGUUGACCACUGACGUCAUCAUGACGUAGUGCUGACGCAGUAAUUUAAUUACUGGAAUUAUUUUUACACAGGAAAUUCCAGAAAAUGUUUCAAACUUCCAAAAUUCAUAUAAAAUCAACCGUAGCUCCAAAUCAAACAAGUUAUAUAUGAAAAAUGAUCAGAAAAAUCCAAUCUUUCCAUCUGUACCGGUUUCAUGCAUGUUUAAACAAGCUAACCUGCUGUUUAUCACAGAACAAGAUAAAACACCUUAAAUGGCAACUUAUGAGUUUGAACUUUGAAUCAAUGGUUCAAAUUAGUUCAAACCCAUCUGUUCUUAGUUGCAUUAGCCCAAUACACUCAUUUUGCCAUGUCUCAUGCAUGCAUCAUAUUGUUGCAUACUGUUUGGUAAUGUUUGUGUAUCAGUGCUCUCUGCGGCAGGUUCUGCCCCCGAGGAGUACCGUGAUAACCCCGACGAAGAGCAAUACCAGUGCACCGACCCGUCAGGCAAGCAACCAACCAUUUGAUCAUAUCAAUACAAUCCCAUGUUCUCGCUCCUGCUCUCUUUUACUGCAUUAAGAUAACGCGUUUCAAACUGCUGUGUGCUACGGUAGUUGAACCCAUUUCCUCUGCAUGACCUGUCAUUGCCACAGUAACUAGAUGAAACCCACUAGCAUGUGUAGGAGUUGAUUGAGCCAUAUGUAUGCGUUGUUCCUACCUUGCUAUGCCUGCUAUGCUUAGAGUCGUGUCAGGUCUGGUUCAUCUGGGUGAUGGCUAGAGUGAAAUGAUUAUGUCGGUAAUGAGAGUGGUGUGGUGAACACGAUUUGGUAAAGGUAUCGAUGAGAGGCCAUGUAGGAGUACAUGGUGGGUUGUUUCAUUGAAGCCGACCUUAAGCACUGAGAUCUGUAUGUGUGAUUUAAGAUACAGCUACUACCAUGCAUUGGGCCCUGAAAUAUGACCCCGCUCGACUUCUUAUUCACCCUAGCUCUCUGUCCAGGAGUUGCAAGUAGUUUCUGGUGUUUGUAGCCUACUGGAGGCCGUGGACAGCGCUGACCGUAGGGGUGGGCUGUGAUGCGGUAGGUACGUGGCCGGGUGUACCGAAUACCCGUUAGGUAUCUCGGGAACCCUGUUCACAUCGUUCGGGGCCGUAUGGGAAACCUCGGCCGGACUCCCUGCGGAUGGAACCUGAAUAGGCGAUAAACCUGGACUAGAGGCUUAAGUGUUUAGGUAGGUCGUGGUCUACACCCACGUCGGCUUUCGCUUGAAGUCUGCCGAGCACAUAUCGUGUGCAGACGCUAAGUGGUGGAAACAUGUAUGAAGAAGUACACCCCUGCAGGGUUAUCAUGAUCUGUUCGAAUAGCCGCGUCCGCGGUAAAGGACUACUUGGUUGCCUAUACAGUUCAUAGACAAGUAAAUGGAAACUACUAAAAGCCUCAAGAUAAGUGUGAGUGCCGAGGAUAGCUCUUCCGUAGGAAGACGGAGGUGGAUCCUCGGUAGUGUAUUGAAGUGGUGAGUAGUGGACUCGUGUGCGAAAAACCAUUUCAAGUUGGAGUAUCAUAGGAUAGUCUAGCCAAGAGUCAAAGCUGGCUUGCUGCAAUAACUCCACCAACCCUUCUUGAUAAUAUGCAUGUAUGUAGGAUCUGAUGUAAGUCUUGCUAAGUACCUUUGUACUCAUGUUGCUAUAAUCUACAUUUUUACAGAAGACACUGCAACCCCUUCUGAUGGGUUCUAUGUAGACGUUGACAUCAACGAGUAGGCUAAAGACCCAGGUGGUGAUCCUGAGCUUGUGAAGGACCAUGUAGUAUAGCUAGGCUUUCCAAGCCUCUGUUAUUUUACUAGUUGUCUGUACUCAGACAAGUUACUUCCGCUGCUGGUUUGUAUGACUGUAUGACUUGAAUGCUGGGUCGUGUGACCCGUAUCUUUGUGUAUGCUAUGUAUGGCUCCCUGAGCCUUAAAUAAAGUACUUGUGUCGUAGAGUCAUGUUGUGAUGCUUCGUUGUAUUUGCACAUAUCGAGCAUAUUGUGUGUAUGAUUGAAAUGCUUGGUAUGUGUGGGAUCUGACUAUCUAGUUGUUUAUCUUUAGUAGCCUCUCUUACCGGGAAAUGUCUCCUAGUGUUACCGCUGAGCCAUGGUAGCUUGCUACUGCUCUGGAACACUUAGGCUGGCCGGCAUGUGUCCUUCUUCGUUCCUGUGUCUGUCCCUUCGGGGAAAUGUCACGCAUUGAGUACCGGAGUCCUGUUAGCCCGCUACAGCCCGGUUUACCGGAGUCCUGCUAGCCCAGUGCUACAGCCCGAACCCACUUGCUGAUGACCGACACGUUCGAAGCUGGGUCAUGGAUGCCUGUCCGUGUAAGUCUGUGCCACUUUGGGUUUACGACUAGUCAUGUCAGCCCGGGCUCCUUAUCAUAUGGAUGCUAGCGACACUAUCAUAUACGUGAGCCAAAAGGCGCAAACGGUCCCGGGCAAAGGUAAGGCUACACCCGUGGGGAUACCGUGCGUGAGGCCGCAAAGUGAUAUGAGGUGUUACCGGCUAGAUCAAUGUGACAUCGAGUCGGGGUCCUGACAAAUCGGGCUAUCAAAAGGGAUGGCUGUGAUUUGAGGAUUGCAUGUAUUCAUAGAUUGCUGUGCUCCGAUGCUUUGUGAAAGGAUUAAAUUAAUUACCCUUAUUUUCCAUUAGGAUCCCCCUGAAACAGGGGGUAAGACAAAAGAUGGUGUGCAAGUUAUUAUUGCAAGCGCAUACAACUACAUAUGGAAUACAUGCAUGCCUACAUAUGAUUGAUGAAUUGGAGUCAAGCUUAUUGUCACCUUGUGCAGCUAUUAGAUGGUUGCUUCCAUCCAUGCAAUGUCCACUAUCCACUCCCAUGUCUACGCUUUCCAUAAUCGUUGUUCUCUUUAUGUUAUGUUUGUUCUUUGCAACUGCUAGGACCUAGUAUUUUGUUGUUAUUAGACGAUACCUCGCGCAUUGCUGUGGGAACGCAUGCUAAAUACUAAGAUCCGUAAAUGAAGCAUAAGGUGGCCUCUUGGCGGGGUGUGGUGUCAGGACCCCGAUUCCAAGUCACAUCGAUCUAGCCGGUAACACCUCAUAUCACAUUGCGGCCUCACGCACGGUAUCCCACGGGUGUCGCCUUACCAUGGCCCGGGACCGUUUGCGCCUUUUGGCUCACGUAUAUGAUAGUGUUGCUAGCAUCCAUAUGAUAGAGAACCCUGGCCGACAUGGCUAGUCGUGAACCCAAAGCGGCACAGACCUAUGGAGACAGGCAUACGUGAAACACAUCGAGCAUGUCGGUCAACAGCGAGUGAAUCCGGGCUGUAGCACUGGGCUAACAGGACUCCGGGGAACCCGGGCUGUAGCAGGCUAGGCAGGACUCCGGAUGUCACCGCGUGACAUUUCCCUGAAGGGACAGACAUAGGAACGAAGUGAAACACAUGCCGGCCAGUCAAGUGUCCUGAGGAGUAGUGCUGGGCUAGCAGGACUCCGGUGAACCGGGCUGUAGCGGACUACUAUGGCUCGAGGAACACUAGACUACAUUUCGCCAUAAGAAAGGCUGCCAAGGAUAAACAACUAGAUUGUCGGAUCCCACUCAUACCAAGCAUUUCAAUCAUACACACAAUAUGCUCGAUAUGAGUACAUACAACAUGGCAUCACAACAAAACUCUACAACUCAAGUACUUUAUUUAGAGGCUCCAGAGAGCCAUACAUAACAUGUUCAUACAGAUAGGGGUCACAUGACCCGACACUCAAGUCAUACAAUCAUACAAGCACAAGCGGAAGUAAAUAGUCUGAGUACAGACACUAGAAAGCAAGAAGGCUUCUCGAAGCCUGUCUAUCUACAUAGGGCCCUCCAUGGCCAGGAUCACCACCUGGGUGGCUAGUCACUCGUCGACGUCAAGGUCUACGUAGAACCCAUGGGAGGGGGCGGUGUUGUCGUCUGAAAACAGUAAUUAAGCAAACAUGAGUACAAAGGUACUCAGCAAGUCUUACAAUAGAACCUACUAUACAUGCUCAUUCUCAAGAAGGUGGUGGGGUUAUUGCAGCAAGCUAGUUUUGACUCUUGGCUAAACCUAUCCUACGGAACUCCACUAGUAAAAUAGUUUUCGCACAUGAGUACACUACUCUCCAACACAAUACUCCACCCGGAUCCUCUCUCGUCAUCCUACGAGAGGGCCAUCCUCGGUACUCACACUUAUCUUGAGUCUUUUAGUAGUAACCAUUAACUUGUCUAUGAACUGUAUAGGCAACCAAGUAGUCCUUUACCGCGGACAUGGCUAUUCGAAUAGUUUUAUACCCUGCAGGGGUGUACUUGUUCAUACACGCUUUCACCACUUACCGCCGUUUACACGACAUGUACUCGGCAACCUUCAAGCGGAGGCCCAACGAGGGUGUCGGCCACGGCCUACCUAAACACUCAAGUCUCUAGUCCAGGUUCAUCGCCUAUCCAGGUUCCAUCCGCAGGGAGUCCAGCCGAGGUUUCCACAUACGGCCUCGAACGAUGUGAACAGGGUUCCCGAGACACCAAAUGGGUGACUCGGUACACCGUGCCACGGUGUAUCUACCGCAACAUAGCCCACCACUAGGGUCAGCGCUAUGCACGGCCGUCAACACAUAACCUACAAACACCAGAAACUAUUUACAACUCCUGGACAGAGUACUAGGGUGAUUAAGAAGCCGAGAGGGUCCAUUGGUUUCGGGCCCAACGUAUGGUAGUAACUGCAUCUUAAAUCACACAUACAGAUCUCAGUUCUUAUGGACGGUCUCAAUGAAACAACCCACCAUGUACUCCAACAUGGCCUCUCAUCGAUACCUCUACCAAAUCGUGUUCAUCACAUCCCUAACAUUACCGAUAUAACCAUUUCACUCUAGCCCAUCACCCAUAUGGACCAGACCUGACACAACUCUAAGCAUAGCAGGCAUAGCAAGGUAGGAAACACAUACAUGGCUCAAUCAACUCCUACACAUGCUAGUGGGUUUCAUCUAGUUACUGUGGCAAUGACAGGUCAUGCAGAGGAAAAGGGUUCAACUACCGUAGCACACAACAGUUUGAAUCGCUUUGUCUUAAUGCAGUAAACAAGAGCAGAAGCGAGAACAUGGGUUUGUAUCGGAAUGAUCAAUGGUUGCUUGCCUGUUGUAGUGGUAGUAGGGUACUGCCCUUCAGACGAAUACUCGGGGUUAUCCUCGGAGGCAGAACCUACCACGAAAAUCACACCGACAUAAUCAACACAUGGCAAUAUGCAACAAUAUGAUGCAUGCUAUGACAUGGCAAGAUGAAAGUGUCUUGUCCUAAUGCAAGCUAAAACAGAAGGGGAUGAACUUAUUUGAAUCAAAGAUUCAAAUGUUAGCUCAUUAAACAUGGCCUUAUUAGUGCAUUACCUUAUUCUUCUUAAACAGCAAGGUUAACUUGUUUUGUCAUGCAUGAAACCAUUACAGAUGGAUAGAUUGAUUCUUUCUGAUCAUUUUUCAUAUAUAUAAAUCUUUGCAUUUGGAGUUAUGGUUGAUUUUCUAUGAUUUUUAGAAGUUUUGGAUAUUUUCUGGAUUUUCCUAUUAAAGAAUAAGUCCAGUAAUUGAAUUAAUGCGUCAGCAUGACAUAGGUGUGACGUCAGCAGGUCAACUGGGUCGGCCAGGUCAAACCUGACUGGUGGGCCCUGUCUAUCAGUGUCACAACUAAUUAACAGAAUUAUGUUAGUGUUAAUUGACUGUCAGUGGGGCCUGGGCCCACAUGUCAGUGACGAAACUAAUUAAAAUUAGUUAAAACUAAUCUUAAAAUGAUUAGCAGAUUGGCCCCACCUGUCAUAGACUCAGGUUGCGUCUACCUGGGCCCACACGGGGGUUAAACAGGGUCAACUCGCUGGCGGCUUGACGCCGGCGACGACAGACAUGGCGGAGGGGCUCGGGUUUGCGUCCCCGGCGACCAAAUCGGCAGCGGAGAGCAGCUACGUGACUUGGGGAGCGAGCCGCGUCGUUUGGUGGAGAAAGUGGAGCUCGGGGAGGCCGGGAACGAUGCCGGCGACGACCUUGGCGGCCACCGGAGUUCGGGCGAGGCUGAACCCGAAGCUACGGGGCAUGGCGAGGCGCAGGGAGUGGUGCAUUAGGCUCCUGGGAACGUGGUGACGCGCUCGGAAUUGAGCUUACGUGCCUGUGGCCACGGCGACGACAUGGCCGGCGGAGCCGAGUUCUCGGCCGUGAUGGCCAACGGGGUUAGAGGGCAGCUCGAGUGUCGUGGCUAGGGGGAGGAGAGAGAGAAGCUCACGGUGAGUGCAGCGGGCGUCAAAGCGGGCUCGGGGAAGCUUGGGAGGUGGCAAAACAUCAAAGACGAUCUCCGGUGACCGACGAGGGGAACGGCAGCAGUGGCAGCGUUGCAGCGCAUCCGAGGACUCGUGGCUCGUCGAGGAGGUCGAGGGAGAUGUUGCAGAGCUCGUGGGCACGGUGGGGCGACACGGGGCGACGGUGGUUGCGGCUACGGCGGCAAGACAACGGCGGCUGCGUCGGCAAGAAGAUGGGAAGAGAGCCAGAGAGGGGGAGAGGCCACGGGGAGAGUGGGAAGAAAGAGAGGGAGACGUGGGGGUCGGCGUGGCACUCAUAGACGCCUCCAGGGCAUCGGCGGAAGCAGGAGGUGGCCGUCGUGUGGCCGCGGGCGCCGGCCACGCGCUCCUCGUCCUCCUGGCAAGAGGAGGAGGAUGACUGGCAAGAGCCAGUCGACUGGGCCGAGCCAGGUGGGCUGGUGGGCUGCACCUGGUAAGUUUCUCUCUCUCUCUCCCCUUUUUUUCUAUUUUUCUUAUUUAUUUAUUAUUUCUAUAACUUUAGGGCUUUAUUAAAAAUACCAGGGCAUUACCAUAAAUCAUAAAAUUAAUCAUGGCCACUGCUUAGAAUAUAUCCAACAGCAAACAUUUUAGUUUAUGAUUAUUUGAGCAUUUAAAAUAUUUUAUAGCAUUUAAAUGCCCAAAUGCAAAUACCAUAAGGAUUAAUCCAAUGACCUUUGAUGUCCUAGAAAAAUGUGCACCAUUUUUGUCAAAGGUUUUAACCCAAAACAAAAAGGGUGAGCUUUUUAGAAGGGCAUUUCAGGUUCAAUGGUAAAGUUUUUAGUAAACCCUAGUUGUUCCAGGGGGUGUUGGGGGUUCUGUCAUCCCCAUUUCAAAUUUAAAAGGAAUUUAAACAUGAUGCACACUCUAAUGCUUGAACUAACUAGGGUGUGACAACUCACCCCCACUCAAAAGAAUCUCAUCCCGAGAUUUAGGAUCCUCUGGAAAGAAGGUGGGGUACUCGAGUCGAAGACGAUCCUCCCUUUCCCAAGUGGCUUCUUUCUCGGAAUGGUGUGACCAUUGAACCUUGAGAAACUUGAUAUUAUGACGUCGAGUGGUACGCUCGGCUUGAUCAAGGAUACGAACGGGAUAUUCCUGAUAUGAGAGGUUAUCUUGUAGAUCAAGCGUUUCGUGGUCCACUCCAUGGAUAGGAUCCGCGAAGCAACGCCUGAGUUGAGAAAUGUGGAAGACAUCAUGAACUCUGGAAAGAUGCGAAGGUAGUUCCAAUUGGUAGGCAACUUCUCCUCGUUUGGCAAGAAUGCGAAAGGGUCCGAUGUAACGAGGAGCCAAAUUGCCUUUGAUACCGAAACGAUGGGUUCCUUUUAACGAAGUAACCCGAAGGUAAGCCUUCUCGCCAACUUCAUAAGUCAUGAGUUUAUGUCUACGAUCAUAUUGGCUCUUUUGACGAGAUUGGGCUGUUUUCAAUUUCUCACAAAUAACGCGAACCUGUUCUUCUGCUUCCUGAAUCAUAUCCGGGCCAAAGAGUUGUCUUUCCCCGGUUUCUGACCAGUUAAGAGGCGUUCAACAUUUUCGUCCAUAGAGAACUUCGAAAGGAGCCUUGCCCAAGCUAGCUUGAUAACUAUUGUUGUAAGCAAACUCCGCGAAUGGAAGGCAUUUCUCCCAACCCAUCCCGAACGAGAUGAUAGAGGCUCGGAGCAUAUCUUCCAGAAUUUGAUUGACUCGUUCUACUUGACCACUUGAUUGAGGGUGGAAGGCGGUGCUAAAAGAGAGACGAGUUCCCAUAGCAUUUUGGAAACUUUCCCAAAAUCGAGAGGUGAAAAGACUCCCACAGUCUGAGUUAAUUUCCAAUGGAACACCAUGAAGAGACACUAUUCGGGAGAUGUACAAGUCAGCUAGCUGGCCAGCGGUGAUACUCUCACAAACAGGUAGGAAAUGGGCUACCUUGGAAAGACGGUCAAUCACGACGAAGAUGGCAUUAUUCCCUCUCUUGGUCCUGGGAAACCCAGUGAUGAAAUCCAUACUAAUUUUAUCCCAUUUCCACUCGGGAAUAGCCAAAAGUUGAAGGGUGCCAGCAGGCCGUUGAUUCUCUGCUUUAACACGACGACAAAUGUCGCAAUUAGCAAUGUAUUGAGCGAUUUAUCUCUUCAUCCUAGUCCACCAAAACCUCUGGCAUAGGUCUAGAUACAUUUUAGUACUGCCGGGAUGAAUGGUGAGAGGGGAUUCAUGAGCUUCCUUAAGGAUUAGCCGCCUCAGGUUUCAUGCCUUGGGAACCACUAAGUGGUUUCCAAAGUAUACGACACCUUGAUCAUCAACGGAGAAACAAUUCGCGACUCCUUUCUUAAUGUUUCUCUUAAUACGGGAGAUUCCCGGAUCUACCUUCUAUGCCUUGAUGAUCUUAUCCGUAAGGGUAGGUUUCGCCACAAGGGUGGAUUGGAAUCCUCGAGGAACAAUGUGAAGAUACGAAAUUCCUCAUGGAGAAGUGGUUGACUUUGUUGUAACAUCAGGUUGUUACAAUAGGAUUUACGACUUAGCGCAUCAGCCAUGACAUUGGCCUUGCCCGGGGUGUAAGUUAUUCCUAAGUCGUAAUCCGAGAUCAACUCGACCCAACGUCUUUGCCUGAGAUUCAAAUCUGGUUGGGUGAAGAUAUAUUUCAAACUUUGGUGAUCGGUGAAGAUCUCGCAGCGAUUACCGAGGUAAUGUCGCCAAGUUUUAAGUUCAUGGACUACAGCUGCAAGCUCUAGAUCAUGUGUGGGAUAGUUUUCCUCAUGUGGGUGUAAUUGCCGUGAAGCAUAGGCAAUUACCUGAUGAUCCUGCAUGAGUAUGCAACCUAGUCCUUGUCGCGAGGCGUCGCAAUAGAUAACAAAGUCCUUGGAGAAAUCUGGUGGUACUAGUACGGGAGCAGAUGUCAGGUGUCUUUUCAGUUCUUGAAAGCUGAACUCGCACUGUGGAGUCAACUCGAACUUUUUAUCUUUCUUGAGGAGUUCAGUUAGAGGUUUAGCAACCUUGGAGAAAUUCUCGACGAAGCGGCGGCAAUAGCUCGCUAAGCCAAGGAAGCUCCGAACUUGCUUGACCGUCUCAGGUGGAGUCCAAUCAAGGACAGCUUGAACUCGCUCGGGAUUGACAACAAUACCCUUACCAGAGAUUACAUGGCCUAGAUAGGUCACUUCUGGCAACCAAAAUUCACACUUGGAGAAUUUGGCAUAAAAGCGAUGCUCUUGAAGUUUCAUCAAUACCGGCCUUAGAUGUUCGGCAUGUUCCUCUUCAUUCUUGGAGUAGAUGCGUAUGCCAUCGAGGUAUACUACGACAAAUUUAUCCAAGUACUCCAUGAAGACCGAGUUCAUUAACCGGGAGAAGGUGGCUGGGGCAUUGGUUAAACCGAAGGACAUAACGGUAUAUUUGUAUUGGCCAUAACGAGUAACAAAGGCCGUUUUGGGAAUGUCCCCGUUUCUGAUUUUGAUUUGAUGGUAGCCCAACCUCAAAUACAUCUUGGAAAAGACUGAGGAUCCAGCAAGCUGAUCAUACAGAUCGUUGAUCCUGGGAAGAGGAUACUUGUUCUUGAUGGUGACCAGGUUGACAGUUCGGUAAUCUACAACCAUUCGAUCCGUUCCAUCCUUCUUCUUGACGAAGAGGACGGGGCAAGCCCAAGGAGAGGAACUAGGAUGGAUGAAACCAUUUUUCAAGGACUCAUCGAGUUGGUUCUUAAGCUCGGCUAGUUCUAAGGGUGCCAUCUUGUAGGGUCUUCUAGAAAUUGGAACGGUUCCUGGAACAAGGUCUAUCGCAAACUCGACAUCCCUGUCAGGUGGAACACCUGGCAGUUCUUCUGGAAAGACAUCCGGAAAGUCUCGAACUACCGGAACAUCUUCAAGGUCUGGAAGGGGGUUGGCAUUUAGGGAGUAAAGUUGGCGCUUGGCCACUCGAGUUAAGACAUUGACUGUCUUGCCCGAUGAAUGAGUAAGUUGAACGGUUCUAGUGGCACAAUCAAUCUUCGCAUAAUGAGAUGACAUCCAGUCCAUACCCAAGAUGAUGUUUAUGUCCGGGGACUUGAGAGCUAUUAAGGAUGCAAGGAAGACAGGUCUAUCAACAAGAAUUUCGUUUCCAUGGCUUACUCUAGAAGUUUGCCAUUUGGAACCCGGAGUUUGAAUUAGCAUGGAAGUGGGCAUGUCACAGAAUGUCGUGUUAUGCAAUCGAGCAUAGUUCUCGGAUAUGAAUGAAUGAGAUGCUCCAGUAUCGAAAAGAAUAGAUGCCGGAUGGCAGUUAACAAGGAGCGUACCAAGGACGACGUUAGGAUCCUCAUGAGCCUCCUCAGCUGAAACAUAGUUGACAUGGCCACGUGUAGUAGUGAUCGGCUUGGCGUAGAAUGUCUUUCCCGCGGGCUUACCACGGCCAACAGACUUUCCAGUUUGAUUGGGGUUGUUGUUCUGGGGACACUCUCGGCUAUAGUGAGCCGGUUCUCCACACUUGAAGCAUGUCACCACAUUGGAACGGGGAGCAGCGUUAGCAGCGGGGCCACCAUAGGGCUUGGGCGGUGCAAACUGCUGGUUGGGACGAGGCGCCUCAAAGGAUGGCCUCGGGAUGAACCUGGGUGGCAGUGCCAUGCUUGGGAUCCACACCCGGCGCUUCUGAGCUCCAGAGCCGGAUGAAGAGCCAAAAUCACGUGAGUGCUUGCGUGAAGCGUCAUAAUCAGUCUGGCAUGUCUCAGCGCUGAUGGCUUUAUUGACCAACUUCUGAAAAGAGGUGCACUCGUGCAGACGAAGAUCACGGUGAAGCUCAGGGCUAAGUCCCUUGCGGAACCUUGCCUGCUUCUUAGCAUCGGUAGAUACUUCUUCAGGAGCAUAACGUGCCAGAUUCCCAAACUCACGGCUAUAUGCAUCCACAGCCAGUCUUCCUUGGGUGAAUUGCAGAACUCCUCCCUCUUGCGAUCCAUGAGACCUUCCGGAAUGUGAUGCUCAUGGAAAGCUUCACUGAAUUCAGCCCAAGUAGUGAUUUGGCCGACCGGGCGCAUAGCUUCAAAAAUUUCCCACCAGAGGCUAGCAGGGCCUUCGAGGUGAUAGGCAGCAUAAGUAACCUUGUCGGCUUUGGCUACGUUGGCAGAACGUAGCUUGUGGGUGAUGCUGCGAAGCCAGUCAUCCGCGUCGAGGGGCUCGACGGAAUGGUUAAACUUUGGUGGGUACAGCUUGAUAAAGUCAUUGAUUGACACCAAGUCAUUUUGCUGAUGGCGUGCAGUGUUCUGCUCAAUCCGCUCUAGCAGGCAGUUAGUCUCACGCUUGUUUCUUUCCGCCUCCAGCAUCACUUCGGCCAGAGAGGGCGGGUGAGGCAGAUUUUCACCCCUAGGUGCACUGGCUUCCCCCUGUUCCGGGGCAGCAGGGUUGCUGCGGGUGUUGACCAUCCUAGGAGAAAACAAGACAACGAUUUAAAUAAGGAUGGCUCAAACUUAGCAAGGAAGUGCAGAAUGUAAUGGAUAACACGGAAUGCAGAGAUGUUCAUCCGUAUGUCAUCGUAAUAUAAAACUGCCAUAUAUAUACCAACGGUCAUACACAUCAUACAUAGGUUAGUACAAGCCCAGGCUAUAGUACAACUAUGAUGAAAGACAUUACAUCUCAUCGGAGGCAUUCCAAGCUCCUAUACAUUAUUUGUCUACACCUCUGGAAUUGAUUACACACAAAGUCAUAUUCCACAAGUCACGCAGGACAGUGGAGAUACAACUAUUACAAUACUAGUGACACUACUAGUAACUCAGACAGCUCCAUAGUAGUCCUCAUAGAAGUCACCUCCAUAGCCCGGAAGUUCAACGUGAUCAUCCGGGAACAGACGAUCCUGAGGAGCUUGUGGACCAAAGGGGCUAGGAUGAGGUCUUGGACCAACAAACGGUGGCCUGCGGGGACCAUGGGGUGGGGUGAUGCCUCCCACAUCACGCCAAUCCACCAUGUCUGGCAGAGCAGAUCUCACAGGAUACAGAUCCCUUGUAUCCAUACAUCCAGCUUGCACCGCAGGUGCAAACCGAGUCAAUGUGGCCCAAUGAUCAGCACGGGUAUUGAAAAGCUCCAGCCUCAAGGCCCGAUUCUCUCGGUCCUUAGCUUCGAGCAUCUCGACAGUGGUACGAGUUAAUGAGUCCUCCUGAGUGGAGUCAACAUAGAUAGCCUAAAGAUACCCUUGCGCUCCCGGAAGUGAAGCUGGCAUGUAAUGGAAGUCGGUAUUCCGAAGCAGGCCAGUCCGGACUCGCAUGAUGGUCAUCAUGGAAUAGGCAGCAUCCUGCACAGCCAUAUCAACAGUAACCCCGAGUCCAUAGGAAUAGUGAAGGGGCUCGGUAGAUCCAGGAUAAGAAGGAAAUAUCCUGACGGUGCAGAAAUAUUGGCUUUGAUUAAAGUCUCGGAAUUGCUCUUCGACGGUGUAUUCGGGAUACCAACGGUAACCCGUCUCGAUCAUUACCCAGACUAACAUAGCAGUAUGACCGGGCACAUCGAGGCACCGGGUCAGGCGAACCACUUGGUUUUGAACACGGUUGGCCAUCUGAAAGCACAACCACAAUGCAAAGACAUUAGAAUUUCUAGGGAAAAUUGGACAGCAUAACAGCUGUAAAAGCUCAGAAAAAGAUUUGAGACAUCCACAACAGUUUGCAAUACCACUCAACAACAUCAUAUCUAGGUUCUGAUUCAAUUAGCAACAUACUAAAAAUAGUAGAAACUGUAUUGAGGCUUGUAACAACAAUCCUAUAAGCUACUACGGAUUAGUAACACGUGAACCUGAUAGAAGAAGAGAGCCUAGUCCUUAACCCACGUUGAAUGAGAAGAGAAUGACUCAAAUCAGAGGACAUAAGGUAAAGGAGUAAAAGAGCCUUAUGUUCCCUUCCACAAUCAAUUCCCCUACAUAUAACUAAAGCAUUUCUAGACUCGACAUCGACCAGUUUGGCUCAACGAACCUACAGGCAGUCCGGCUCUGAUACCAACGCUGUCAGGACCCCGAUUCCAAGUCACAUCGAUCUAGCCGGUAACACCUCAUAUCACAUUGCGGCCUCACGCACGGUAUCCCACCGGUGUCGCCUUACCAUGGCCCGGGACCGUUUGCGCCUUUUGGCUCAUGUAUAUGAUAGUGUCGCUAGCAUCCAUAUGACAGAGAACCCGGGCCGACAUGGCUAGUCGUGAACCCAAAGCGGCACAGACCUAUGGAGACAGGCAUACGUGAAACACAUCAAGCAUGUCGGUCAACAGCGAGUGAAUCUGGGCUGUAGCACUGGGCUAACAAGACACCGGGGAACCCAGGCUGUAGCAGGCUAGGCAGGACUCUAGAUGUCACCGCGUGACAAUUCCCCGAAGGGACAGACAUAGGAACAAAGUGAAACACAUGCCGGCCAGUCAAGUGUCCUGAGCAAUAGUGCUGGGCUAGCAGGACUCCGGUGAACCGGGCUGUAGCGGACUACUAUGGCUCGAGGAACACUAGACUACAUUUCCCCAUAAGAAAGGCUGCCAAGGAUAAACAACUAGAUUGUCGGAUCCCACUCAUACCAAGCAUUUCAAUCAUACACACAAUAUGCCCGAUAUGAGUACAUACAACAUGGCAUCACAACAAAACUCUACAACUCAAGUACUUUAUUUAAAGGCUCCAGAGAGCCAUACAUAACAUGUUCAUACAAAUAGGGGUCACAUGACCCGACACUCAAGUCAUACAAUCAUACAAGCACAAGCGGAAGUAAAUAGUCUGAGUACAGACACUAGAAAGCAAGAAGGCUUCUCGAAGCCUGUCUAUCUACCUAGGGCCCUCCAUGGCCAGGAUCACCACCUGGGUGGCUAGUCACUCGUCGAUGUCAAGGUCUACGUAGAACCCAUCGGAGGGGGCGGUGUUGUCGUCUGAAAAUAGUAAUUAAGCAAACAUGAGUACAAAGGUACUCAGCAAGUCUUACAACAGAACCUACUAUACAUGCUCAUUCUCAAGAAGGUGGUGGGGUUAUUGCAGCAAGCCAGCUUUGACUCUUGGCUAAACUAUCCUAUGGAACUCCACUAGUAAAAUAGUUUUCGCACACGAGUCCACUACUCUCCAACACAAUACUCCACCGCGGAUCCUCUCUCGUCAUCCUACGAGAGGGACAUCCUCGGCACUCACACUUAUCUUGAGUCUUUUAGUAGUAACCAUUAACUUGUCUAUGAACUGUAUAGGCAACCAAGUAGUCCUUUACCGCGGACGCGGCUAUUCAAAUAGUUUUAUACCCUGCAGGGGUGUACUUCUUCAUACACGCUUUCACCACUUACCGCCGUUUACACGACAUGUACUCGGCAACCUUCAAGCGGAGGCCCAACGAGGGUGUCGGCCACGGCCUACCUAAACACUCAAGUCUCUAGUCCAGGUUCAUCUCCUAUCCAGGUUCCAUCCGCAGGGAGUCCAGCCGAGGUUUCCACAUACGACCCCGAACGAUGUGAACAGGGUUCCCGAGACACCAAAUGGGUGACUUGGUACACCGUGCCACGGUGUAUCUAACGCAACAUAGCCCACCCCUAGGGUCAGUGCUACGCACGGCCGCCAACACAUAACCUACAAACACCAGAAACUAUUUGCAACUCCUGGACAGAGUACUAGGGUGAUUAAGAAGCCGAGAGGGUCCAUUGGUUUCGGGCCCAACGUAUGGUAGUAACUGCAUCUUAAAUCACACAUACAGAUCUCAGUUCUUAUGGACGACCUCAAUGAAACAACCCACCAUGUACUCCUGCAUGGCCUCUCAUCAAUACCUUUACCAAAUCAUGUUCAUCACAUCCCUCACAUUACCGAUAUAACCAUUUCACUCUAGCCCAUCACCCAGAUGGACCAGACCUGACUUAACUCUAAGCAUAGCAGGCAUAGCAAGGUAGGAAACACAUACAUGGCUCAAUCAACUCCUACACAUGCUAGUGGGUUUCAUCUAGUUACUGUGGCAAUGACAGGUCAUGCAGAGGAAAAGGGUUCAACUACCGUAGCACAUAGCAGUUUGAAUCGCUUUGUCUUAAUGCAGUAAACAAGAGCAGAAGCGAGAACAUGGGUUUGUAUCGGAAUGAUCAAUGGUUGCUUGCCUAUUGUAGUGGUAGUAGGGUACUGCCCUUCAGACGGAUACUUGGGGUUAUCCUCGGAGGCAGAACCUACCACGAAAAUCACACCGACAUAAUCAACACAUGGCAAUAUGCAACAAUAUGAUGCAUGCUAUGACAUGGCAAGAUGAAAGUGUCUUGGCCUAAUGCAAGCUAAAACAGAAGGGGAUGAACUCAUUUGAAUCAAAGAUUCAAAUGUUAGCUCAUUAAACAUGGCCUUAUUAGUGCAUUACCUUAUUUUGCUUAAACAGCAAGGUUAACUUGGUUUGUCAUGCAUGAAACCAUUACAGAUGGAUAGAUUGAAUUUUUCUGAUCAUUUUUCAUAUAUAAAUCUUUGAAUUUGGAGUUAUGGUUGAUUUUCUAUGAUUUUUAGAAGUUUUGGAUAUUUUCUGGAUUUUCCUAUUAAAUAAUAAAUCCAGUAAUUGAAUUAAUGCGUCAGCAUGACAUAGGUGUGAUGUCAGUGGGUCAACUGGGUUGGCCAGGUCAAACCUGACUGGUGGGCCCUGUCUGUCACAACUAAUUAACAGAAUUAUGUUAGUGCUAAUUGACUGUCAAUGGGGCCUGGGUCCACAUGUCAGUGACGAAACUAAUUAAAAUUAGUUAAAACUAAUCUUAAACUGAUUAGCAGACCGGCCCCACCUGUCAUAGACUUAGGGGGGAUCUACCUGGGCCCACAUGGGGGUCAAACAGGGUCAACUCGCCGGCGUCUUGACGCCGGUGGCUUGACGCCGGCGACGACAAACGCGGCGGAGGGGCUCGGGUUUGCAUCUCCGGUGACCAAAUCAACAGCGGAGAGCAGCUACGUGACGUGGGGAGUGAGCCGCAUCCUUUGGUGGAGAAAGUGGAGCUCGGGGAGGCCGGGAACGAUGCCGGCGACGACCUUGGCGGUCGCCGGAGUUCGGGCGAGGCUGAACUUGAAGCUACGGGGCACGGCGAGGCGCGGGGAGUGGUGCGUUAGGCUCCUGGGAACAUGGUGAGUGUGGUGACGCGCUCGGAAUCGAGCUUACGCGCCUGUGGCCACGGGGUUAGAGGGCAACUCGAGCGUCGUGGCUAUGGGGAGGAGAGAGAGAAGCUCAUGGUGAGUGCAGCGGGCGUCGAAGCGGGCUCAUGGAAGCUUGGGAGGUGGCAAAACGUCAAAGACGAUCUCCGGUGACCGACGAGGGGAACGGCAGCGGUGGCGGCAUUGCAGCGUGUCCGAGGCCUCGUGGCUCAUCGAGGAGGUCGAGGGAGAUGUUGCGGAGCUCGUGGGCACGGUGGGGUGACACGGGGACGACAGUGGCUACGGCUACGGCGGCAAGACGAUGGCGGCUGCGUCGGCAGGAAGAUGGGGAGAGAGCCAGAGAGCGGGAGAGGCCACGGGGAGAGUGGGAAGAAAGAGAGGGAGACGUGGGGGUCGGCGUGGCACUCGUAGACGCCUCCAGGGCGUCGGCGGAAGCAGGAGGUGGCCGGCGUGUGGCCGCGGGCGCUGGCCACGCGCUCCUCGUCCUCCUGGCGAGAGGAGGAGGAUGACUGGCAAGAGCCAGUUGACUGGGCCGAGCCAGGUGGGCUGGUGGGCUGCGCCUGGUAAGUUUCUCUCUCUCUCUCUCUCUCUCCUUUUUUCUGUUUUUAUUAUUUAUUUAUUAUUUCUGUAACUUCAGGGCUUUAUUAAAAAUACCAGGGCAUUACCAUAAAUCAUAAAAUUAAUCAUGGCCACUGCUUAGAAUAUAUCCAACAUCAAACAUUUUAGUUUAUGAUUAUUUGAGCAUUUAAAAUAAUUUAUAGCAUUUAAAUGCCCAAAUGCAAAUACCAUAAGGAUUAAUCCAAUGACCUUUGAUGUCCUAGAAAAAUGUGCACCAUUUUUGUCAAAGGUUUUAACGCAAAACAAAAAGGGUGGGCUUUUUAGAAGGGCAUUUCAGGUUCAUUGGUAAAGUUUUUAGUAAACCCUAGUUGUUCCAGGGGGGUGCUGGGGGUUCUGUCAUCCCCAUUUCAAAUUUAAAAGGAAUUUAAACAUGAUGCACACUCUAAUGCUUGAACUAACUAGGGUGUGACAUGUGGGCGGGUGGCCGUGCUGGCCUCCAACGCCCAAGACGCGACCUCGAUCACAUCCAACCACAUAUGCUCACUACAAGGCCCGGAUUUGAACACGACAAUUUACACUUGUUGGAACUUAUGGAAAGAAUGCAACAGAACACAACAAUUUACACUUGUUGUUACUUAUGAAAAGAACGCAACAGGACUUUCGAGCAUGUUUCUGUUCAUCCAAAAGGUGUUCUUCACCUCAUCAAGAAAGAUAGAUCUUCCGACCACUACAAUGCACUGGAUCUCCGACUGUGAGAACUUCAGAGCUGGACUAAUAAGGUCUGAGCAUGACCAUGUACUGAUCUUACUGUAACAGCACAACUUUGUAAUUUUCUCCUCUUAAUAAAUGGGCAGAUCACUGCCAAUUCUUCAAAAUAAAAAUAAAAAGGACUUCUCAUCUUUCGUAACAAAAUCUAUAAGAACCAUGCGACAUGGUUGCUGUAGGCCUGGCAUACCACAUCAAACAAUUGAGCCGUAGCAGCGUCCAGUAACUAGCACAUCAUCAUGCUAUCAAAAUUAAUUAGCUGGUGCUCAAGGGUAAUAACAACACGAGAACGUACACUACUAAUCAAUAGAUACUCCCUCCAUCCCAUAAUAUAAGAACGUUUUUUAUACUAGUGUAGUGUUAAAAAAGGUUCUUAUAUGAUGGGACAGAGGGAAUACAGAAAUAGCUAACAUUUUUGCAUACAUGGCAUCCAUACAGAAGUAGCCGGGACAUCUCACAUGACACAAUUUAAAUUAGUUUCACAAGACAUGACUUCAGGGUCCAAGAUAAUCUCGCAUAACAACUAGCUCAUGACACUACAGAUAGCUGAAUAAGUUAAUAGACCACAGGAAAGACUGAUAAAUUUCUUACAACAAGUUGGGCCUGGCUUCAAUAAUUUCAAGAAUAGAAACUGAGCUGAGCUGAGCUCCGCUUCUCUCCCCACCGUAUGCGCCGCGGGCCACUCCGGCCAUGGCGGCCACCCACCCACCCCGCCUUUACUCUGGCUUCGACUGCCAGCCUAGGGGCUAUGCCGGCCCGCUCCCCUGCGAGUGCCCCGUCCUCACCCGCCGAGAGCCUCGGGUGGAGUACACCCGAAAAGGUGGAGAUCCAGGGUGAGUCCAGCUGUCCGUCAGAGGUACCGGCGACUCCUCUGUCCCCGUCGACGCGGGAUCCCCGAGCCCAAGCUGCCGCCCACACGGAUCUGGGGCGGAGGUCGAGGUGGCGGGCUUCGGACCGGUGGAUGGCGGCACGGCACCACCAAAUGAGCGCCCCCGCCUCAAAUCCAUCGUGGUAAGUGAUAACCCCCUCCCAUCUCCGGCCACCGACGCCAUUGAAGAAGGAUGGGAAAUCUAGAAAUCCCGCAAGAACCGCCGCGCCAGACAGGAUCCAUUUAGUGCUAGGGAGAAAUCAAGGCGUCGGCCUUCUCGCCAAGGUUACAGCCAUGGGCACUCGGCGGGCAGAGAGGCCUUUUCAAGCAGAUUCAAGGGCCUCUGCUUCCGCUGCCUUAACCCUCGCCACCGCCCCGUAGACUGUAGGGAUCCACUGCGCUACAUCAUCUGCAAACGCCCGGGCCAUUUCUGCCGAGAGUGCGCCGACAACCCACGCAACAAGGGGCGGGGCUCGGCCGCUGUUCUGCCGUGCUCCCCGCGCCGGCCGAUCUGCGAGCGCCUGACCUUUCCUCCCCCGCCUAGCUCCAGCACGCGGUCGUGGUCACCGCGGUGGGCACCAAGGUGCACAUGGCGAGCCCGCUCUCCAUUGGCCGCGCGCUUGAGCGCGAGCUCAAGAUCCCUCCGUACCUGCUUCGCGUCACCAACCACGACCCUGAGGACUUCUUCGUCUACUUCACUCUGCCGGCACACAAGGACCUGGCGGUGCGGCGCGGUUCGCUGUCGGUGGACGGCGUGCCGUUCCUGCUCGAGCCAUGGAGGGAGGACGCCCAUGCUGUCCGGCUCAAGUGGAUGCUGCACGUGCGCGUGGUCAUCGAGAAGCUUCCCAUGCAGCUUUGGAUGAUGGAGGGCACGGAGGAGGCCAUCGGUGACAAGGUCAUCGUCGACCGCCUCGACAGCCGGACCCACGAGCGCGUCGACACCAAGCUUUUCGCCUGCUGGGUCUGGUGCUGGGACACUGCCCACAUCCCCAUGAAGCGUACGAUCUGGAAGCAUGCCUGGGGCGCUGGCCGCGUCGAUGAGAUGGUGGGCUACUCUCCUCCGAGCCGCGCCGUGGCACCACCGCCAGAGCUGCUGCAAUAUGACUUGCUCAUUCACCUAGAUCGCGUGGAGGACUGGACUCUGCUCUCGCCGCGUUCAUCCUACUCACCGCAGAGCGGCAUCCCCUCCGACGACGACGAGCCUGACGAGCGCCCCUACCCACGGAUCGAGCCAGGCUUCUGGGCCGAGCGGGUGGAGGAUGGUAGGCCGGCGCUUGCCCUGGCGCUAUCCAUGCGCCCCCAACCCCGGUGGCAUCCACGGGCUGCCGGGGCAUGCCGGCCACUGAUGGUCGGUGCGAUGACGACGGCGGAGACCCUGGGUACGAGAGGAGGAGCUGGAAGGACGCGCUGCUUGGCAGGGGGCGUGCCAGCGACAGAGGCGGGGCCCCAGCCCCGGCGCCACCUGCAGAGCGGCGGCGCAGCCGCACCCCAGCCUCGCGCCACCGCCAGGGUGCACCGUGGGGCCGGCACCUCUGCAUCGACAAGUAGGCCGCGAUCGAGCCGACCAAGAGGAAGGACGUGAUGGCUGGGCCCUCCCGCCAGCUAGAUGGGGGGGGGGGGAAGAGCCAGGCCCGGUGCAAGUCCGGCGGCUCGACGGUGGCUGAGUCGUCGGGCGGCCCCUCUCUGCUCGCCCCACCGCGCAGGCUCACUCAGGAGCAAGGGCAUGGUGCAGGCCAUGCUGGGGGGCAGGGCGCGGCAGAGGACCCGGUGGAGGAGUUCUUCCAGGGAUCAAAAAACAACCUCCUCCCACAACCUCGGCCACGCCCUGACGCCGUGGCCACGAAGAUCGAUGAGGUGAUCGCCGCCAAGCUCGACAAGCCGCUGCGCUUCGAUGAUGAAAAAGAUGGUGGCAGUGACGGAUUGCUGGACAGGGGGCCUGCCCUAUCCCUGGCCCGUCACACCCCGUUCGUUGCGAGCACGAAUGAAGUGCAGCUGGGCGAGGUCACACAGAGGGUCACUGAGAUGCAGCUCCAAGGGGGAGGAGUCGAGGGCGAGCAGCAGCUGCCCCUCUUCUCCAAGCCGGCGCCAGCGAUCAUCGGAAAGCCACCGGCAAGAGACAGGACGCCCCUCAAGGCUAGGCCGCAGGCCAAGCCAGUCAGGCAGAGCGCACGCCAAGGUGCCAACCCCUCCCAGGUGCCGGUCUCUCAGAGGGCGAUGCUCCGGCUGGUGCAGGGCCUCGGCAUCCUCGGGCCAAAGGAGAAGAUGACGGCGCAGGCUGCAGAAGCCCUGAUCCGCUGUUUCGACGAUCCCCUAUCUGACGACGACAUCGCUGCCAUCGUGAAGCUCACCAGCCUCGACGCCAACGCGCUCAAGGCGAUCGCCGGCAUGCCUAGCCAGCAUGGAAGCGCCGCACUGCCCCGUUCCCCAUGUUAGAAAACCUUAGUGUAGUUGUCGGCCGACGACGACCAGCAGUGUGCUGGGUAGAGUUAGGUUUGUUGUCAAGCAUGAAGUGUUGUAGCAGUAGCCAGGCUAGGAGGCUUGUUGUUCGCCGGCGGGGUUUUGGGCCUAUUGGUGGCCGCUGGCGACCCCUGGAUGCAAGGAUGGUGUCAUUGUGUUCUAAUUUAUCAGUAGAUGUUAGUUGUCGGCAUCUCAUCGUGCAUCGCCCAGUUUUCAUCCAUUAUAGCUCGAGCGCUGCUAGGUUUCCCCAUGGAUGACACGAACAUGCCGAUCAUGAGCUGGAACGUGAGAGGUCUCAACACGCCGGCGGGACGCUCGGUCAUCAGAGACACUGCACACGCCCACAAGCUGGCAAUCCUCUGCAUCCAGGAAACCAAAAUUGACUGCUGGUCCACUAGCUUAGCAAGAAAAAUAGGUGGCACAUGGCUUGACCAAUGCAUUGUUCUUCCAGCCAUUGGAACGAGGGGAGGGGCGGCCAUUUUUUGGAAGUCUAGCAUGCUGUCUGUGCAGUCUCACUCGAUAGGGCAGUUCUCUAUCACAGCCGGGGUGCAAACAGGCUAGUUAGGCAAAGAUUUUUGGUUAACUACGGUCUACGGGCCUUCGGAUGAGGAUAGAAAAGAUGAUUUUCUCGAGGAAUUGACUAGAGUUUCUCCCCCACCUGGACAAGCUUGGCUCAUCAACUGCGAUUUCAACAUUAUAUACGAGGCUAGAUACAACAAUAACAGCAACAUCAACCAUAGGAUCAUGGGUAAAUUUAGAGCGGCAAUCGACGCGGGUGGCCUCCAUGAGAUCAAAUGCAAAAACCGCCGCUUCACCUAGAGCAAUGAGUGUAGGAACCCUACAUUAGUUAGUAUCGAUAAGUUUUUCUGCAACAUUGCUUGGGAGGGGUUUUUCCCAUCCUUUCUCCUGCAUGCAGCAUCAACAUCGUGUUCGGACCACUGCCCCUUGCUUCUCGCAGCUGCUGCAGCCCCACGCCGCCCAGCAACAUUCAAGUUUGAAUCGUUCUAGCCCCGGUUCCCGCGCUUCCAGGAGACGGUCCAACAUGCCUGGAACCGCCCAACCUCAUCGCACUGCGCUUUUGCAAGGCUAAGAGAGAAAAUUAGUAGGGUUGCUAAGGAUCUAAAGAUUUGGAGCAAAUCUCAGUUUGGGGGGGCAAAGAUCCAGAUGCACAUUGCAAAUGAAGUGAUCCUACGCCUCGAUGUAGCGCAAGAAACUAGAGCACUGUCCGAUGCAGAGUUUCAUCUUAGAAAAAUGCUCAAGCUCAAGAUCUUAGGACUGGCGGCCAUUGGUCGUGCAAGGAAACGCCAAGCCUCCAGAAUUACGUGGCUGCGAGCUGGGGACGCGCCAACUGCUUUCUUCCAGGCAAAGAUCAAUGCUAGGAGAUGGAAAGGUUUUAUACACUCACUGCAUGGACCGUUUGGUGUGGCUAUUAAGCAGGAGGAGAAAGAAAACUCGAUCUAUGAUCAUCUCUCCUCCAUACUGGGCAUGACAGCACACCACAACACCACCAUUGGCUGGCGCUCUCUCGCCAUUCCCAGGCUGCAAGGAGGAGGGCUUGACAACCCUUUCACAGAGGAGGAGGUAUGGCAUGCAAUCAAGGCUUCUUCGGCGGAUCGUGCGCCGGGCCCGGAUGGUUUCUCUGGCCUCUUCUUCAGAUCAUGUUGGGCAACAAUCAAAGAGGAUAUCAUGGCAGCAUUCAAUCAGUUCUACAAUUUAGUAGGUAGAAAUUUUGGAGCUCUAAACACUGCGGUGGUGGCAUUAUUGCCCAAAAAGGACGAAGCACUGACUAUCAAGGACUACCGGCCAAUCAGCCUCAUCCACUCCAUAGCAAAGUUGAUAUCCAAAGUCAUGUCCCUUAGGAUUGCCAACGUGAUCCACACGCUCAUCUCACCAGCACAGUCGGCAUUUCUUCGGACAAAAUGCAUCCACGAUAGCUUCCUGUACGUUCAAAGCUGCAUCAAGGCCCUACAUAGACGGAAAACACCGGCUCUGCUUCUUAAGUUGGACAUAGCCAAGGCCUUUGACAAUGUAUCUUGGGAGUACAUCCUUGAGAUGCUGCAACAACAGGGUUUUAGUGCGCGAUGGAGAGAUUGGAUAUCUUUGCUGCUGUCCUCAUCCUCGUCAUCCUUCCUCCUCAAUGGCGUUCCAGGAAAAAGGAUCCGACACCGGAGAGGCCUUCGACAGGGCGACCCCUUGUCACCUUUCAUCUUCAUCCUAGCGAUAGACACACUGCACCACCUACUUCAGGUCGCCGCUGAGCAACACAUCAUUGCACCACUUCCAGGGCGGGAGCUAAAACUUAGGAUUAGCCUAUACGCCGAUGACAUCGUCAUCUUCACAAAUCCGGUGAGGGAAGAAAUCGAUGCACUCAUGAAAAAUAUGCACGAUUUCGGAGAAGCCUCCGGACUACACAUCAACCCUUCAAAGUCGACGGCUUUACCCAUCAGAUGUGAGAACAUAGACCUAGGGUUUGUGUUGCAAAAUUUCGGAGGGGCAGAGGGGCAAUUCCCGACCACCUAUUUAGGCCUGCUGCUGACACUAGCUAGACUACGACUAGCAAACCUACAAUUCAUCAUAGACAGGAUCAAGGCUCGACUUGUAGGAUGGAAAGGAAAACUCCUGCCAAUAGCCAGUAGGCGAGUAUUGGUUCUAUGUGUCCUCGGUGCUAUGCCCACUUUUGCCCUAACUAUCCUCAAAGUGCCAAAGAAGCUACUCAAGGAGAUCGAUAGAUGCAGGCGUAGAUUUCUUCGGAAGCAAGACGAGGCGAUCACAGGUGGUAGCUGCAAGGUUAACUGGUCGGCGGUGUGCACUCCUACAUCUCAUGGAGGACUAGGGAUCACCGAUCUCGAACGUUUCAGCCGCUCCCUUAGAUUACGAUGGCUAUGGAUAGCCUGGUCUGACCCUGGGCGGCCUUGGGUUGACAUGGAACCACCAUGCAGCAACAGCGACAAGGCACUCUUCGCAGCAGCGACCACGGUCACCAUCGGCGAUGGCGCGAAGGCACUCUUCUGGCACUCCACUUGGUGUGGGCCGUGCACCCUGGCCAGCUCGUUCCCUCUCCUCUACUCGCACUCCAACCAUAAAAACAGGAUGGUGCGCGAGGCUCUCACACAUGAUACUUGGAUAAAAGACCUGCGACACGGAAACCUACAACCUCUGCUGCCAGAUUUUGUCAGGCUGCAUAGAAAGAUCGCCGUAACCGUGCUAACAGAGGGAAGUAGUGAACAGACUAGGUGGAAUCUAGAGGCCAGGGGAAAAUACAUUGCAAGCUCGGCUUACGCUAUGCAAUUCCAGGGCAGAGUACUAGCGGAAUGGCGGAAUUUUAUCUGGGAGGCAAAGGUUCCUGGAUGCAUUAAGAUCUUCGCCUGGCUCCUACUACAAAACCGGCUAUGGACAUGCGACAGGCUACAAAGGCGUGGCUGGCUGAACUACUAUUUUUGCCUGCUGUGCGUCCGCAACCUGGAGACAACUCACCACCUCUUCUGGAGCUGCCCAGUAGCCCGGAAGGUGUGGGAGAAGGUAGCCGCAAGACAGGGGUGUCAGCAGUUACACCCACGGCAACAGGUGUAAGAGGGAAGCGCUAUCGCCAUACUCCAACGGAUGGUGGCAAACACCCGACCAGCACAACAAAAGGCCAGCAAUGCCACCAUGCUGUUAACAUGCUGGGAAAUUUUGCAAGAGAGGAAUAGGUGUGUGUUCAAGGGAAAGAUAGCUUCAACGCAAAACAUCAUCAAGGCCAUCGAGCAUGCCAUCGAGCUUUGGCGCCAAGCGGGAGCAAUUCAUCUAGAGAGCCCCUUUUGGGAUCCACCAUGAAAUUUAGAACAAUAGUUAUUUACGGGGUUUAAAGUGUUGUAACAAAACUGGUCCUAGGACCUGCUCCUCACCCUUUGUAUUUUUCUCCAUUGCUUUCUGCUUAUCAAUGAAAUGCCAAUAUGACGCUGGAUCUUUCAAAAAAACAGGAAAGACUGCAUAUUCUUCUUCCAGCCAGCAAGAACAUAUGACACCUUUGGUUUCUAGAGCAAGGAAGGAAGGAUAUUUCUGAAUGGAGUAGACCAAGACUGCAUAUUCUUCUUCCAGCCAGCAAGAACAUAUGACACCUUUUGUUUCUAGAGCAAGGAAGGAAGGAUAUUUCUAAAUGGAGUAGACCAAGCCACUUCAAUGUUAACCCUGGAGUACAAGCUUGGACCAAAUAAGUAGAGACCAAGCCACUUUAAUCUUGACCCUGCAGCUAGCACCAAUGUCACAUUCUUUCUCUGUUACGCCGCCAUAUUUUUUGGGUUCGAACAUGACAUCACCUGUUGCAACGGGUACUUUCAAGCUACAACCACAUGCAGAGUAGGCUUGUACUAAAACUUGGAAGUUUUGGUUCACAUCUACAGAAACAACACACCUUGACAGAUGAAUGUUGCCAUCUUGAUCCAGCGGCGGAUUAUCUCCAUCUAGAAAAUCAAGCAACACAAAUUCUUCAAGGGAAGAUGCACCUUGGAUAAAAACUUUCCCUGCAAAUUGACUAGGCCAUGACCCAUGAAUAAUUUGCACACUUAGGAUAGUGGCCUCGACCAUUUUCGCAAACUGCUUACAAUGAAAUCUUAUGGUGCAAAGGUUGUUUUCCAAGAUUGUACGAAAAGGACCAGGGCUCCGUCGGCAUCGGAGGACUUGGUUGAUCAAUGCUUUUCCAUCUCCAGACUCUCUCUUGAACUUAAGAUCAACUUCAAAGUCAACAGGUUCAAGGGACAGAAUUGCACGAGAGGGGCCAGUCAGCGUCAAGUAGGGCUCCUGCAAUUGGCAAUCAUGGGAUAAGUAACAAUUUAUAUGGCAAAGCCAAUAAACCCACCACAAGCAGGGAAGAGGAAUGUAUACAUCUGCAGUAAUGAUUUGGCAGUUAUUGCUUGUGCGAUUGAAGAGAAAGUUGCGAUUAUAAUCCACAUGGUCUCGGGCAGCAACCAUGCCAUAGACACGAAGUGGCCACCCGAGUUUUGGCUUCUCGACUUGGAUGGAGUAGACUUGCAAGGUGUAGGAGACCAAAGCAUGUGGGAUGGUUUUGUAUGUGGUCAGCAUGUUCUUGAUCGUCGCUGCAUACACAAAGCGUGUGUUACAACAUAAUGUCUCUCAGCAAGAAACAUAAUAAUACACAGAAACCGAAAAUUUUCUUCGGUUACGAUUUCGAUGACUGCGAAGAGGAAGAGAAUUAUGCUGGCUGUAGGUAAUUAUGCGAAUUAUAACUCAGAUAAGUGUGUACAUUGUUUAAGUACUCUCAUAUUCGAAGUUACCGAACUUUCCAUAGGACAUGCACUCCCAGCCUAUAUGGUACUCUUGCAUAAUCUCCUCAUCCGUCAUGUACUCGGGCAGGAACACCUCCUCAUCUAGAUCCAUUGAGUUGUCAUCCUCGUUCUCCGAGAUCUGCUCCGGCGUCGCUGAAUCGUCGUUGAUCCUAGAAGAGGAUGUGGCCUCCUUAUGGUGGCGCUUCGUGGAUUCUCCACCGCUCCCCCCUUCCGCUUCUCUUAUCACCUCCAUCUCCAAAAGUAGAGUUCUCCCUCUUCUUCUUUCUUCGACGCUGCCCCCGCCGCCGCAGUUGCAAGAUCUAGGGUUUUUUCUUGCAGAAAUGUCUUAGGGAUCCCAGUCACAGCCGUGCGGAAGGCUCCUAAUUUUUUUAGACAAAGCUCCUAAUAUUAUAUGGGUGACGAUGCUCCCACCCAUCCGGCCCAAUAAGACAUACGUUCGUCCAGGAGCCCAAAUACUAACGGUGUGCUCAAGGCCUGUCUAGGCCACCCAGUAAGAUGCUCGUUCGUGCGGGGAAAAACUGUCGUUAUUCGCUGUGCCAAAAAAGAUAAAUGCAUUUCCCUAAAAAAAGAUAAAUGCAUAGGAAAUGCGGCUGCCUUGAAAGAUUAGAAAAAAAACUACUCAUGUAAAUUUAAAACAUGUUCAUGGAAUUUUAAAUAUUCCUGAAAAUUUAAAACAUGUUCAAAAAAAUUUAUAAUAUUCACGAAUUUAAUAUAUGUUCAUGUUCCUUAAAGAUGUUCAAGGAUUAAAAAAAAUAUAAAUUCUUAAUUUUAACAUGUCCACGGAAAAUGUUCCCAAAUUUUAACGAAAAUUAUAGUAUUCGUGUAUUGCAGAAAUGUUUACAUAUUUGAAAAAUGUUUACCAAUUUAUGAAAUAUCCAUGAAUUUAAAAAAUGUUCAUAUGUUUUACUAAUGAUUGCUCGUUUAGAAAAUUUUCUUGUGUUUUCAAUAAAUUUUCACAAAUGUAUAAACUAUUCAUGAUAUUUUAAAAUUUUCAUGAAUAUUCCUAAAAAAUAAAUGUCUCAUGAAUUUUAACAAUGUCCAUGUUUUUUUUAAGAACAUGCAUUUUAAAAAUGUUCACAACUAUAUAAAAACACAUUCCAUGUAUUUAAAACUGUUCAAAAAAUCUUUUAAAAUAUGAUUGUAAAUUUAAGAAUAUUUAUGAAUUAUGGGAGUGCUCUCUAUAGUUUUUGUUGAGUUUUAGGGUUUCCUAUUUAUUUAGUAUUUAUUGUCAUUUUGCUAUUUUUUCUUCUUUAUUUUUGUAUAGGUUUUCUUUUAUUUUCUUUUAUCUUCUUUUUAAAUCAUGAACAUGGAGGAUUCGAUGAAGGAUAAUAGUGUUGAAUGCAAAAUGAGUCGUGUAACAUCCCUAGAGUAAUCCCCUAACUAUUUUCCCUAUGAUAUUGGUUGUGCAUCAGAUGCAUCUCAUAAGCAUUAUAUUGUGUUAAUUGAUUAAUUUGGUUACCCUCCGGAGAGGGGGAUUCUUUGACAUCAUCAACACCAACCUCUUCUCCAUCACCACCAUCAUGAUCUCCCAUUCAUGUCUGAGUAAUUUCUUUGUGGGCACAUGGGGUGGGUGGAAAUUGGAUCACACAUCUCUUAUGUAAUAGAUGUCGGAUUUGAUAUGGUUUGUGCCUAGUACCUUGUAUGUUUCUGAGACUGAUGUUGUUGUGACUUUGUUAUACUUAAUGCUUCACACUAGGGCCCGAGUGUCAUAAUUUCAUAUUUGAACCCUUUAUGUUUUCAUGAAUGUACAUGUGUUUUUGGAUCAUAUCUGCAAGUUCUAUGUGUGUAUUAUAGUUAAAAGACAGAGACCUUGAAGUGACAGCAAUCGGGCUAUCAAAAGGGAUGGCUAUGAUUUGAGGAUUACAUGUAUUCAUAGAUUGCUUUGCUCCGAUGUUUUGUGAAAGGAUUAAAUUAAUUACCCUUAUUUUCCAUUAGGAUCCCCCUGAAACAGGGGGUAAGACAAAAGAUGGUGUGCAAGUUAUUAUUGCAAGCGCGUACAACUACAUAUGGAAUACAUGCGUGCCUACAUAUGAUUGAUGAAUUGGAGUCAAGCUUAUUGUCACCUUGUGCAGCUAUUAGAUGGUUGCUUCCAUCCAUGCAAUGUCCACUAUCCGCUCCCAUGUCUACGCUUUCCAUAAUCAUUGUUCUCUUUAUGUUACGUUUGUUCUUUGCAACUACUAGGACCUAGUAUUUUGUUGUUACUAGAUGAUACCUCGCGCAUUGCUGCGGGAACGCAUGCUAAAUACUAAGAUCCAUAAAUGAAGCAUCAGGUGGCCUCUUGGCGGGGUGUGGGCGGGUGGCCGUGCUGGCCUCCAACGCCCAAGACGCAACCUCGAUCAGCUCGGUGACGUCCCUCGAACUCUUGAUCCAGCUGAGGCCGAGGGAGAGUUUUGUCAGCACGACAGCGUGAUGACGACGAUGAUGAAGUUACCGACGCAGGGCUUCGCCUAAGCACUGCAACAAUAUGAACGAGGUGGGAAUAUGUGGAGGGGGUACCACACAUGGCUAAACAAUCAACUUGUAUGUCUAUGGGGUGCCCCCUCCCCCGUAUAUAAAGGAGUGGAGGAGGGGAAGGGCCGACCUCAUGGGGCGCGCCCAAGGGGGGGAUUUCUACUCCUAGUAGGAGUAGGUUUCCCCCUUCCCUAGUUGGAGUAGGAGAAGAAGGAAGAGGGAGNNNNNNNNNNNNNNNNNNNNNNNNNNNNNNNNNNNNNNNNNNNNNNNNNNNNNNNNNNNNNNNNNNNNNNNNNNNNNNNNNNNNNNNNNNNNNNNNNNNNNNNNNNNNNNNNNNNNNNNNNNNNNNNNNNNNNNNNNNNNNNNNNNNNNNNNNNNNNNNNNNNNNNNNNNNNNNNNNNNNNNNNNNNNNNNNNNNNNNNNNNNNNNNNNNNNNNNNNNNNNNNNNNNNNNNNNNNNNNNNNNNNNNNNNNNNNNNNNNNNNNNNNNNNNNNNNNNNNNNNNNNNNNNNNNNNNNNCCCCCGGUACUCCAGAAAAUGCCCGAACUAAUCUGAAACCUUUCCGGUGUCCAAACAUAGCCUUCCAAUAUAUUAAUCUUCAUGUCUCGACCAUUUCGAGACUCCUCGUCAUGUCCGUGAGCACAUCCGGGACUCCAAACUACCUUCGAUACAUCAAAACACAUAAACUCAUAAUACCGAUCGUCAUCGAACGUUAAGCGUGCGGACCCUACGGGUUCAAGAACUAUGUAGACAUGACCGAGACUCAUCUCGAGUCAAUAUCCAAUGCGAUAGACUUGUACGCUGUACAUACUUUCCACCUCCUGUGUGCCACUAUGGCGACCCCUUUGACAUAUAAAAGGAGGCCCAAGGCGUACUGAGGGGGGAUUCAGACUUUUUGGGCUAGGCAUGCACCACAGUUAGUCCAGGAGCUCAAGAACACCAAAUAUACACCAAAGUAGGACUAGGGUAUUACGCAUCGUUUGCGGCCCGAACCUGGAUAAAAUUCUCCCACGUUGAUCUCCUAGACCCGCUCUUUGCACAGCCCCGCGCCCCGCCAACCGUAGUAGGGAUUCCCCUGUGAUCCCAUAGGUGUCGUUUCCCCGACAACGCCCUGGUGGGUUGUGGUCCCCACGUGGGCCCCCUCACUUAUCCCUUCACACCACAUCAUGACCUACCUCUAGAAAAAAUUCUCCAUUGCUCUCUCUCUCUCUCUCUCUCGUGUUCUUGCUCUCAAACCCGCAGAUUUCGUUCUCUUUGCUCGAAGCUCCAUUUCUGAAACUGUUUCGGGGGAUUGUUGCUUGGCAUGUGACUCCUCCGUUUGUGCAAUUAAUUUUUGUUUUAGUGGUUUAUAUUUUGAAUAAUUAGCUACUCUUGGUGCUACCAUAGAUGAUCUUACAUGUUGAUUUCUUAGAGUUCUAAGUAGUUUGAAUGCUUGCUAUGGCCUCCAUGUAUCCCUAUGAGUAGUUGCUAUCAAUCUUGUAAAGUUUUGUUGAGAAAAAUUUUGUGGACUAAAAAUUUCAGAAUCUUUGUUCAUAGGAAAAGGAUGAAUAUAUUUAGGAAAUUUGCUUCCAAGAAGAACUCCAAGGGAGUUAUUGGGGAGUCAUCUGAUAGUGAUCUCCAUCCCCGGAGGUUGGCGGAAGUACGGCCGUGCGAAUGGCCGCAUACCCCGUUCAUGGAGGAGGCUGGAAUCCUUCAAGAGUUUAUGCAAUAUGCUGGUAAUGCCGGCCUCACCGACUUCAUCGCAGCUGAAUGUGAACAGUAUCAUAUCCUCACAAACAUCUUUGUUCAAAGUUUUAAUUACCUUCCUAGGAAUAAUCCCCCUGAAGUGCAGUUUAAUUUAUAUGUCGAACCCCAUCAGAUACCACUUACUGAAUUUUGUGAAAUAUGCUUGCUUCCUUCUGAUGGUAGUUCAACAGAGCCUAGACCCGCAGAGUUUGAAAGCUUUUAUCGUACUCUGAUAGUGGGUGAUGAGAGAGGGGCGUCGAUUAUAACGGCCGCUGGCUUGCAUUUUCCUGCUGUUCAUUAUUUUGCUCUUUUCAUUUCAAAAUGCUUGCUCGCUAGAGAGAAGGUGGGUGCACUGAGUUCACCAGACCUUGUUGUUUUACGUCGUGCACUAGAGGGCGACAACACUUAUAGCUUGGGAGGUAUCGUGGCACAUCGCCUCCACAUUAAUAAGUCCAAGGGUAAAAUACAUGGUGGUAUUUUCGCUACUCGCUUGGCAGCUCGCUUUAAUGUUGAGAUACGCCCUCAUGACAAUCCUUUGACCAAGGUCUAUCUAGAUCGCGCAGCUAUGGAACACCACCACUUCAUUGCACGAGAUUUCCUUAACAUUCCUAUUCCGUAUAAAUUGGUUUUCAGUGUGAGCACUCGUGAUAUUAUUCCAUUGCCUGCACCUGCUUUGUUUGAUCCUGUUGCCAGGGGCAUAUAUACACUACAAAAAAAGACACAUUCGUGACAUUUUGGGCCGAACGAAUUUUUUUUGUCAUGCUUAUGACACUUCUAUGAGGAUAAUUGUGACAAAACCCUGUAUCAUCAUAGAUGUGGUGGGCUCCUACUUCUAUGACAAAAAUCAUGAGAGAAAAUGGGCUUUUCGUCCUAGGCGGACCGGAGACGCAACUGCAUGACAUUCUUUGGGUCGUCCAUGACGGAAAAAACCAUGGUAGAAGCGAGGGCGAGGAAAAUAUCAGGGAGUUCCUGGUUACGGUGGUUGGUUGGGGGCCGAGCGAUGCGCGUUUCUCUCGUACACGUACGCGCGUGGGUGCGAGGCACUGGGCUCUAACUGAACCUGAAUGAGGUAUUCACCUACUGAACCCGAGCGAUUGCACUGCAGGCUACGUGUUACUGAACCCGAGCGACCGAUCGUUGGCUGUUAACUGAACUCGAUCGAGCGAUUUCUUCGCUACUGCUACUAACUGAAGCCGGCCGAACCUGCUGCCUCUUGAUGAACAGUGCGAGUUGUUGGGGGGUGGAUGAACAAUUUUCGGUGGGGGUUGGAUGAACAAGACCUCGUGGUAGUAGAUGCCGUUGCCGCUGGAUGAGCAGGACCCCGAUCGAUCGAGCCGGUUGCGGGUGGAUGAACAGGACCCCGUGGAGGGCUAGAUGAACAGGACAACCCCGUGGAGGGAUGGUUGAACAGUAGCCGAUGGAGGGCUGGAUUAAUAGUAGCCCGUGGAGGGGUGGUUGAACAGGACCCCGUGGAGAGGGCUGGUUGAACAAUAGCCGGUGGAGGAGCACGCGGUGGAGGCUGGAUGAACAGGAGCCCGUGGAUGAACAGUCGUAUGUGGAGGCUGGAGGAGGUCGAUGGUGGAUGAACAGUAGCCCAUGGAGGCUGGAGGAGGUCGAUGGUGGAGAUGAACAGUAGCCCGUGGAGUCCCGUUUUGCGGUACGCCACACCCCUCCCAAUGAACAGGACCCCCGCUUCGACUGUAGUGCUCCAACACAGGUCCGUUUCCUCCAUUUUGCGGUACGCCACACCCCUCCCGAUCAACAAGACCCCAUUUCGACCGUAGGCACUCGAACACAAGUCUGUUUCCUCCAUUUUGCGAUACACUAGACCCCUCCUGCUGAACAGGAUCCUGUUUUGACCGUGGCCGGUCGAACAAAAGGCCGUUUCCUCCGUUCUGUAGUACGCCAGACCCCGUUUCGGCUGUUCCGUCCAAGCCGGUUGGCUCCCGUUGAACAAGACGCAUUCCGACCCAGUCAGUUGCCUCCCGAUGAACAGGACGUUGUUUCUCUGUUCCGACCCAGCCGGUUCACUGCCCGGUGAAUAGGACACCGUUGCUGUUAUCCGUUGCCUCUCCAUGUACACAAGCCCUCGUCGUCCGUAUAUAUGCGUGAGUACGCGCUCGAGACCCCGCCCAUAUGUACGUACAUGGCCGUAUUUUUUGCCCUAUGGAUGUACGUACGUGUGCGGGACUUAGACAGGACUGCGUGAACUGCUAUGUCGGGUGCUCUACAAUGACACGUGCCGCUACUUACUUGGCCACGGUUCAUACUUGCAGAGAGACCGAUCGACCAGUAUGUACGUACACGUUCGCGACCAGACAGACAACGCUACGUACGCUUUCACUGGGUGGGUCCCAGUGGUCAGGGGUGGAUAAGGACGCACUUCCUUGCAUGCGAAGAUAUAGCUGGUCGGUCCCAGCUGUUAGGGGGAGGAAUCUGUCGGUGUUCUGGGAACGGGGGUACCCAAACUUGCCUGCCUGCAGCCGAUGGUGUGGCUCUGUCAACGGCCCGGUACGGCCCAACUUUAGGACAACAACCAAGACCCUCGCGAGGGGCCAAGCCUCACGAGGCGGACGACACCAAGACCUCCCUGGGGGGCGGCCUCCCCAGGAUGGCUCCGAGGAGCGGAGAUAUCUAUGCAAGCUGCACCUAGCGAGGUUCAUAUGACGUGAGCCGUGACGACCAAGGCCAGGCGGGCGCCAGCGGGCGCAGUGUACUAGUUUCCUUUUUGGCCCUAAGGAGGCAAGCACAGGCACGGGGUCCCGAGGAAUGAAGCAAUGGUUUCCAUAUCGGUGCAACAAGGCGAAGACCACCAGGACGGCAGGACAGAGGUCAUCGCGGAGCCCACCGCAGCGUCACCAUCAGAGGCUUUUACAGGAGAAGACUACUUUUUUCAGGAUAACUUGUACUAGUUGUCUCCCUUCGAAUUUGACCAUUAUGGGGUCCCUUUCUGCCUACAUUUGGGAAGAGGGCCGAGGCCACUAUAAAUAGGACUUAGCCACCAUGAUAACCCACAAGUAUAGGGGAUCGCAACAGUUUUCGAGGGUAGAGUAUUCAACCCAAAUUUAUAGAUUUGACACAAGGGGAGCCAAAUAAUAUUCUUAAGUAUUAGCAGCCGAGUUGUCAAUUCAACCACACCUAGAAACUUAGUAUCUGCAGCAAAGUGCUUAAUAGCAAAGUAAUAUGAUAGUAGUGGUAACGGUAGCAAAAGGUAAUGAUAGCAAAAGUAAUGUUUUUGGUAUUUUGUAGUGAUGAUAGCAAUAGCAACGGAAAAGUAAAUAAGCGAAGAACAAUAUAUGGAAAGCUCGUAGGCAAUGGAUCGGUGAUGGAGAAUUAUGCCGGAUGCGGUUCAUCAUGUAACAAUCAUAACCUAGGGUGACACAAAACUAGCUCCAGUUCAUCAAUGUAAUGUAGGCAUGUAUCCCGAAUAUAGUCAUACGUGCUUAUGGAAAAGAACUUGCAUGACAUCUUUUGUCCUACCCUCCCGUGGCAGCGGGGUCCUAGUGGAAACUAAGGGAUAUGAAGGCCUCCUUUUAAUAGAGUACCGGACCAAAGCAUUAACGCAUAGUGAAUACAUGAACUCCUCAAACUACGGUCAUCACCGGUAAGUAUCCCGAUUAUUGUCACUUCGGGGUUAACGGAUCAUAACACAUAAUAGGUGACUAUAGACUUGCAAGAUCGGAUCAAGAACUCUCAUAUAUUGAUGAAAAAAUAAUAGGUUCAGAUCUGAAAUCAUGGCACUCGGGCCCUAGUGACAAGCAUUAAGCAUAGCAAAGUCAUAGCAACAUCAAUCUCAGAACAUAGUGGAUACUAGGGAUCAAACCCUAACAAAACUAACUCGAUUACAUGAUAGAUCCCAUCCAACCCAUCACCGUCCAGCAAGCCUACGAUGGAAUUACUCACGCACGUCGGUGAGCAUCAUGAAAUUGGUGAUGGAGGAUGGUUGAUGAUGACGAUGGCGAUGGAUUCCCCUCUCCGGAGCCCCGAACGGACUCCAGAUCAGCCCUCCCGAGAGGUUUUAGGGCUUGGCAGCGGCUCCGUAUCGUAAAACGUGAUGAAUCCUUCUCUCUGAUUUUUUUCUCCCUGAAACCAAAUAUAUAGAGUUGGAGUUGAGGUCGGAGGAGCUCCAGGGGGCCCAUGAGGUAGGGGGCGCGCCCUAGGGGGCAGGUGCGCCCCCCCACCCUCGUGGACAGGUGGUGGGCCCCCUGGCCUUCAUCUUUUGCAAGGAUUUUUGUUACUUCUGAAAAGUUGUUCCGUGAAGUUUCAGGUCAUUCCGAGAACUUUUGUUUCUGCACAUAAAUAACACCAUGGUAAUUCUGCUGAAAACAGCGUCAGUCCGGGUUAGUUCCAUUCAAAUCAUGCAAGUUAGAGUCCAAAACAAAGGCAAAAGUGUUUGGAAAAGGAGAUACUGCGGAGACGUAUCAACUCCCCCAAGCUUAAACCUUUGCUUGUCCUCAAGCAAUUCAGUUGAUAAACUGAAAGUGAUAAAGAAAAACUUUUACAAAAUCUAUUUGCUCUUGUUGUUGUAAAUAUGUAAAGCCAAAAUUCAAGUUUUCAGCAAAGAGUAUGACCAACCACAUUCACAAUAACGCUUAGGUCUCAAGUUUACUCAUAUCAAUGGCAUAAUUAACUAGCGAGCAAUAAUAAUAAAUCUCGGAUGACAACACUUCCUCAAAACAAUCAUAAUAUGAUAUAACAAGAUGGUAUCUCGCUAGCCCUUUCUGAGACCGCAAAACAUAAAUGCAGACCACCUUUAAAGAUCAAGGACUGACUAGACAUUGUAAU
rnacentral:lncRNA from 1 species